rnacentral:lncRNA from 1 species
UUGCUCUCUUGUGCAUUUAUCAUUUUCUUUUAACAGCACUUCUAAGUUUUAGAUUCUGUAUCCUUGGGUUGGGCAUCUACUUUCUUGGAAUACGCUACUGAGAAACAAGGCAACCCAGAGAAAUAAGAAUAAGGAAUGCCCUAUCGGAAACAAGAGAACCCAAAGAAAUAGAAAUAAGCUAUUACUGUUUAAAAAAAAAAAAAAACUAUAUUGCUGGUAAUUUCCGAUCUGUCCAUUACAGAAACUGGAAUUUUUUACAUAGCAAUUGCGAAGUACAGAAGUAGAAGGAAGAAUUUGAUAAAUACAAAUUGCGCUCCGCUGCCUUUUUCCUUAGAAAGACUUUUUCCCCUUUAGAAAAAAAACACCUUUUCCUCUCAGCUAUAGCUGCUUAGCUCGCUGCUUACUUUCACCUUGAAUGCAGCUACUUUUAUUUUUUUUCCAGCCUGUAUUUUUUUUUCCAAUCUCAAUGUUAACUAGAUUUUUUGACUCUUUUGCCUUGUACGACAACGGCACGUUUAAAUACCCUCAUUUAUAUUUUUCAUGUUUCCAAAUAGUUUUAGUUUCGCGUUUUUGUCCCCUUCCAAUAUAUUAAUCAUACAUAUAUAUGCCUUCAUCCCUUCCGAACACGUUGUACUAUCUUUUCUUUUCUAUACUGUUCAUAUGUCGUGCCUUUCUGUUUAUUUUUUCCCUCCAUAUAUGUGUGAUUGGUCUCUUAAAUUUUGAUGCUUAUUACCCAUUUUUUGCCCCGGAUACCCACUUAACGCCAUUUUCUGCUAACAUUCAUUGGGAUACUCCAAGCUUUGAAUAGAUCGCACGUUUUCCAUCAGCGUCAGAUCCAUUGUUCUUUGCAAUGUUCAGUUUUGCCUUCGUUGCUUCUAUCGAUCUUUACCAGUUUUUGUGCAAUGUCAAUAGUCAUUCACAGGGAUCUUCGUAUGAUAGCCGUGCAGAGAUAGUAGCCAUACAAAAAAAAGGUCAGCUUUUUACUAUUUUUAGCCUUCUUUACAUGGAUCUUCGUUUCAGCCCAAUAGCCGUGCAGAGGAAAAAAGGUCAACGCUUUGCUACUUUUAAACUUCUUUGCAUAGAUAGUAGCUAAUGAAAGUCCCCUUGCCUGCUCUUUAAUCUUUUUUCCCGUUGCCUGCCUCGACCAGUGUGCUUACAAUGUUCUAUUAAGCCUUCUGCUUUAUCUGGGCUUCUUCCCUUCCUUUGUUUCUUCUCCUUGCUUUACAGUCAGGCAGCCUUUCUUGCCAUCAGGUUGGUGAGUAAAGCUUUUCUGCAUGCCUCUUGCAUCCUUUAUUUACAAUGUACACCAUACGCUUGCUAAUUUUUUUCCUUUUGUGCUUACACAUUUUUUUUAUAUUUUCUCCCUGUCUUUGUACUUUCCAGUGGAGCUUUCUUCCAAGAGUCACACAGCAAGCUCGGUUGCUUCUCUCGUUGUUUCUUCUUUUUUAAGGUAUUAUGAUUUUCAUUAAAUAGUCAAAUAUCUGCUUUAGUGCCUUUACUUGUCAUUAAAGAUGUUUACAGUCCAUUCUAUAUAACUAAUAGUUUAGUUUUUCGUCAUAGCUGCGCUUUAGCUCCUUUAUUUUAAUCAUUACCUUUUCAGCUGUGCUCCUUGCUUUUCAUGCUUUUCCUAUUGUGAGACCAGUUUCCCUUGCAUCAUUACUCACUUUGUGAUCAAUGGCACUUUUUUCGUGCACUAGCUAUGUUGUUAUGGAUUUUUUUGACCUUCUAUAAAAUCUAUCAGGCCGCUAUGGUCCUUUGCAUAUUCUAUGGAUAUGUACUUUUCGUUUUAGCUCCUGCUUCUUUCUUGCUUAGUGUAGUAAGAUCCGUACAGCCUUAUUCUUGGUUGCAUGGACUACAACUUAGUUCGCCGUGGUCGUUAUGCGGCCAUGGACAAAGACAAAAAAGAUGCUUUGCUUCAGCGUAGAAGAGAUGCUUAUGCUGCAAAGAAAAACACUUCCCAUGUCCCAAAGGAUAGCACUGAACCUGCCUAUCAAACUAAGCUAUAUACACAUAAGGCAGGAAACUCUGCAUCUGGUUCACCAUCUACAUUGCAACAGAUAGACGUAUCUGCUCUUGCAUCUAAGGUGUCGCAUGCUGAUCAGCAGAGCCUUAUUGAAGCUUCUGCUCCUCUUAUGCGUCGACCAAAGAAGUAUAGGAGCCGCCGCAUAAAGCAUUCUUGUGAUAUUCCAUCUGCUUCGCAACAAAUGAAUGCAUCUGCUUCUAUCCCUGAGCCGUCUGAUAACCAUGAUGCCCAAUUGCCCGUGCAUGCCCAUGAAUUAGCUGAUCUUUUUGACUCUAUUGCAAAUCGCUUGAAUUCUAAACUUGAAACCCAGUCAACUCCUCACCACCCUUAUUCCUCUAUUUCUCCCUCUUCUGUACAACCAUCAUUGGAAGGUACAUAUUUAUUGAUUGGUAUCUUCAUUCCUCAUUAGGUUUCCUCACAGCUUUGCUCCUGCUUUAUUAAUGGUUAAGUGCUAAUGAUCUGUUAUACCAGUUCCUGCUGUUCUGCCUAUAGAGGAAGGUACCUGUGUUAUUGGUCUAGAUAAUGCUCAGCCAUUCGAGUCUCAAAACAGACCAACCAUUGUCGUAAAUACAUCUGUUCCUUCCAGAGGUAGGUGAAUGCCUGGUAAUUAGUAUAUAUAUAUAUAUAUAUAUAUAUAUAUAUCCUUAGGGCUGUGUUGCAUUGUUGCGUGCUUUUCCGAAACUCCCACGGCAAUGAUAUAUUUUUCAUCAUUGCACCAGGGAAACGGAAAAAAACCUCACGCUUGGAUAAGAUUCCAGAUAGCCCUCUUGUGCUGCCACAAGCUCCAGACUGUAAACAUUGUGGAGCAAAAAGAUUUCAUUUAGAGCCCCCCAAUUUCUGUUGUUCCGGAGGAGAGGUUUCUGUCGUCAUCCCAGUCAUGCCUUAUAGCCUUUACCGUCUUUUUUCUGGUGUGGACGAGGAAUCAGUGGAGUUUAGGAAGAACGCUCGUACCUACAACAAUAACGUGGCUUUUACAUCUUUUGGUGCCAAAUAUGACCAUGAAUUAACAAAAAACACCAAGGGAGUUUACACCUUUCGAGUUCAGGGACAGGUCUACCAUCUACUGAAUGGCUUAGUUUCUCAGAACAAUCAACCAACAGGGAUUCAGUUGUACUUUUAUGAUCAAGAAGAGGAAUUGUCUAAAAGGCUCAGCAGCUCACCCAGGUUACGCGAGAGUACCCUCCGUCUCUUAAUGCGAAUCUUAGAGUCUAACCCUUACACUAAGUUCUUUAAGAACCUUCGGCAUGUUAACAAUCUUGAAGAUCAUAGGAUCGUUCUUAAUUGUAACCCUGAGCUGGAUCAAAGGGUAUAUAACUUGCCCACUUCGUCUCAAGUUGCUGCAAUUUGGACUGAAUCUGAAGAUGAGGCACUUGAAAGAAAUGCUCACAUUCAAGUUUAUACCCACUCAAACACCAGCCAUAGGAUACAACACUAUUUUUCAUGCUAUGAUACAUUGCAGUAUCCUCUCCUGUUUCCACAUGGUGAGUCUGGUUGGCAUCAUGGUAUCUUAAGAAAUUCUGCUUCUAGGAAACGAAAAAGAAGCUCUUCGGAUGAUGUUGAUCUUCCUGAUGCUUCUUUAAUAGGGACUGCAUCAGACCUUAUUCGCCUAGAACAAGAAGGCAAGUCUAACUUAUAUGUUCUGCUAGCUUUUUUGUUUCCGUUAGCUUAUUAAGUUUGUGUAUAAAUUAUUUGUAUGUUUUGCUUUUCCUUGCUUAGCUGCUGAGCGUGGAAAAAAGGAACGCCUGACUGUCUCUGCUAGGGAAUAUUAUUGUUACUUGCUUCAGAUGAGAGAAGCGGAUAGGUCCAUGUUGUUGCACACCGGCCGGUUGUUGCAACAGUUUGUUGUGGAUAUAUAUGUUAAGAUUGAGACAUCUAGGCUUGACUUCCAUAGAAAAAAUCAGAAUGAUAUUAGAACAGAAAUUCUCCAGGGUGUCAUGGAUAGUAUAGCUGCAGGAAAGAGUGAGGGGAAGCAAGUAGGCCGGAGGGUAUAUCUUCCAUCUUCCUUUAUUGGCGGCCCCAGAGAUAUGCGGCGUCGUUAUGUGGAUGCAAUGGCGUUAGUUCAAAAAUUUGGCAAACCCGAUCUGUUCAUUACUAUGACAUGCAAUACCCAAUGGAAAGAGAUUCAAGAAAAUUUAAAAUAUGGAGAAUCGGCACAGGAAAGGCCAGAUCUGGUUUCUAGGGUGUUUAGAGCAAAGUUUGAGAUGCUCAAGGCUGAAAUACUUAAGAAAAAAAUAUUCGGUGAAGUUGCAGCGUGCGUUCAUGUAAUUGAAUUCCAGAAAAGAGGCCUUCCCCAUGCUCACAUACUCUUGAUUCUUAAGCCUGAAUAUAAGCUGUUAAGUCCAGAAGCUUAUGACCGAAUUGUUUCUGCUGAGAUCCCAGAUCCGGAUAGCCAAAAAUAUUUAUACUCUCUUGUUGUCAGGCAUAUGAUGCAUGGCCCUUGUGGACAGUUGAAGCCUGAUAAUGUUUGCAUGAAAAAUGGGUUUUGCAAGAACCAUUUUCCAAAAGAUUACUGUGACUUCACUAUCCAUUCAGAAGAUUCCUAUCCACAUUAUAGACGUCGAAGGAAUGGUCCAACUGUAAGAGUGCGCAAACAGUUAUUAGAUAACCGCUGGGUUGUCCCGUAUAAUCCUUACCUUCUUGCGCUGUUUGAUUGCCACAUGAAUGUUGAGGUUUGCUCAACUGUCAAGCUGGUCAAGUAUUUAUACAAAUAUGUCUACAAGGGCCAUGACCGUGUAAGCUUUCAUGUUCAUUCUGGUUCUGGCCCUGAAGACAUUGACGAAAUCAAUGAGUUCCAGUCCGGAAGAUGGGUUGCUGCUGCAGAGGCAUUUUGGCGUAUCUACAGAUUUUCACUAAAUGAAAUGACUCCCUCUGUUUACACUCUUCAAUUACACCUUCCAGGACAACAAAUGAUUUCUUUCCAUAAAAAUACUGAUCUUGCUGACCUUUUGGACCGUGCCGCUUUUAAAAAGACCAUGCUUACACAGUUUUUUCGUAUGAACCGGACCAAUAAAGCAGCUCAGAAGCUUAAUUGCUUGUAUCGUGAAUUCCCUGAAUAUUUUGUUUGGAAGCCAGAGAAAAAAAAAUGGUCUCAGAGGAAACGAAAAAAGGUGAUUGGUAGAAUGGUGACUGUAAGUCCAAUUGAAGGUGAACGUUAUUAUCUUAGGCUGCUACUGUCUCAUGUUCGUUCUCCCAAAUCCUUUAAGGAUCUUUUGACUAUUAAUGGCAAGCUUGCAUUAUCGUAUAGAGAGGCUGCCUUUCAGAUGGGUCUUCUCCAAUCUGAUACUCAUGUAGAGGACACUCUUGAUGAUGCAGUGGCAUUUCAAAUGCCAUAUUCACUGAGGACUUUAUUUGCAAUUUUGUUGGUUUACUGCUCGCCCAGUGAUCCAAAGUCAUUGUGGGAAAAAUAUGAGGCUGCCCUGUCUUCUGAUUUUGAAAGAAAUAAAGAUCUUUCUGGUUACGAUUCAGAAGAAGUUAGGAGGCGUGUUCUGCAAGAUAUUAAUAAAAUGUUGGAACAAAUGGGAAAAAAUGUUGGUGAUUACCAUCUUGUGCCUGACAACUUUCACCUUGCUCCUGAUGAACAGGUUGCAAAAGAAAUUCAGAAUGAACGAAAUAUUCCAUUUACUGAGGAGGACUUACUUUUGUCUUCGAAGUUGAACAUAGGUCAGAGACAUGCCUAUGAUGUUAUUAUGUCUGAAGUUCUCUCUUCAGGGAGUAAAAGUUUUUUUGUUGACGGGCCUGGUGGAACAGGAAAGACAUUCCUUUAUCGUUCCAUUCUUGCAACGCUCAGGUCUCGUGGUCUCAUAGCAAUAGCUGUUGCUUCGUCUGGUGUGGCUGCUUCUAUUCUUCCGGGAGGCCGGACUGCGCACUCGCGCUUUAAAAUUCCUUUGGAUGUGUCCGCAAACAAAAUUUGCCAGAUUAGCAAACAAAGCUCUGUUGCAAGGCUGAUCACGCUUGCUAAGCUAAUUCUCUGGGAUGAAGCAUCCAUGACUAAAAAAGAUACUGUUGAAGCAUUUGACUUGUUACUAAAGGAUGUCAUGGAUUCUAAUAAACCUUUUGGAGGUAAGGUUGUGGUUUUUGGAGGUGACUUCCGACAAACCUUGCCUGUUAUACCAAAUGCUUCAAGGGACCAACAGAUUGAGGCUAGCUUUGUUCAUUCACCUUUAUGGAGAACUCUUCAGAAAAUAACUUUAGAGGAGAAUAUGCGCGCUAUUUCAGAUCCCCAAUACUCAGAGUUUCUUUUGAGAGUAGGAGAGGGACAUGAGCCAGAAGAUGACGAGGGGAAAAUAUCUCUGCGUAAGGACAUAUUAAUUCCAUUUGAUACUAAAGAUGGCUCGCUUAAUAGGUUAGUACACGUUCCACAAUCUUAGCUUACAUUAUUUGCAUUUUUUCAUGCUUAGUAUAUACAUGUAUAUCUAACCAGCCUCUUAUUUACUUAGGUUGAUAGGCUUCGUCUUUUCAGACCUGCAUGCUUAUUCGAUCGAUCCAUACGCAAUGAUCAACAGGUGUAUCCUUACGCCGAAGAAUUCCUGUGUUGAUGACAUCAAUGAUGUGCUCAUUGAUCGUUUCCCUGGACAAGCUUUUGUUUUCAUGAGUACAGACAGGACUCUCAAUGAAAAAGAUCAGGGAGAUUAUCAAGACUUCCUGAACUCUUUGAAUCCAAAAGGAUUACCCCCCCAUAAAUUAGUCUUAAAGGAAAACUGUCCGGUCAUUCUGCUUAGGAACCUAAAUCCCGCAGAGGGAUUGUGCAACGGAACACGGCUUAUUUGCAAACACCUUAGACAACAUGCCCUUUGUGCAGAAAUUGCAGUAGGCCAACAUCGAGGCAAGAGAGUGAUUCUGCCUAGGAUUCCCCUUCAAACAUCUGAUAAUGAAAAAAAUGGCAUUCCUUUUAAACGAACACAGUUUCCAGUGAAGCUGUGCUUUGCCAUGACCAUCAAUAAGUCACAGGGCCAGACAUUAGAUCGAGUUGGUAUCUAUCUACGUGAACCCGUGUUCUCACACGGACAAUUAUACGUUGCUUUGUCUCGGGCUAAAAUGUCCAGUGCAGUUAGAGUCCUUAUAAUGCCACCAACAUUUUUUGCUACUAAAACUGUACCUGAAUCUAGAACAAGGAAUGUUGUCUACCGUGACAUCCUUGAAUUAGCUGCUAAAUGACUAUCUAUACUAAGGUAUUGCCGGCUCGGUGGAUUUAUACACGCCUUUUCUGAAUUUGCUAGCAGUUUUUAUCUAACUUGCAUCUUUAUUUGCCUUCUGUUUUUGCUUUACCAUGACCUUAUGGAUUUUCGUACACCUUUGGUGCAGAAUGGGUGACCUUUUGUUCAUUGAUGACAUCAAGCCUGGAAUGAAAUCUUGGACAGCUAUAGUAACGGUCCAAGAAAAAUUGAAUGUUGGCUCUGCACCCUCCACUCCAACAAAAUGGCAAAAGUUUAUUUUUGUUGACUCAAAUGUAUGCUUAUAUUACUUUUCAAAGCUUGUUAUCAAGAUCUAUUUUCCCCUGAUGCUAUGUAUCUUUGACAGUUAUUAAUGCCUUCAUUAUUUUGUACUAAGUAUCCAUAAAAUAGCCAAUUUUCCCUAUGGAACUUGUUUUUCCAGGGGUCAAAGGUCCAGGGAGUGCUUUUUGACUAUGCCAUACAGAAAAUGGGGCCUAAGCUCAAGCUUUACAAAAAAUAUCGCAUCUCAAAUGCUGAAGUCAGGGCUGCUGCUGAAAGGUUCCAGCUUGAUGGACUUAAACUCCAGUGGAUUAUAAGCACCAAAACUGUUGUUGAAGAAAUUGAUGAAGCUGAUUCAAGUGUGUUGCCGUUCCACUUUGAUUUCACGGCUUAUAAAGACCUGCCUCCUUACGUAGACAUGAAAUAUGAAACUGUUGGUCAGUAUAAAACACACUUUAUCACUUGUUUUCUAUUGCACUUAUAUGAAAGAAAAGUUGUAUCUGAUUUUUUCUUGCCUGUUCUGCUUAAUAUAGAUGUCAUUGGAAUAGUCAUUCAUGCAUCGGCGAUUAUUCCAAUCCACAAAGAUUCACGUGAAUUACUGGUGCAAAAAUUUUGGCUUGUGAAUGAAGAGUAAACUCUUUUCUUGUUCUUUCUUUGCUGUAUUAUGACUCCUGAAACAGUUGCCACACUUACCCCGUCAUUGUAAAAAAUAACAGCCAUUUCUCUGUUCUUGCUAUUACAUAGAAUGAAUCCUAUUCUGCUGUCUCUUUGGAAUGAGUUCACUGAAAAUCAAGGAAAAUCUAUCACUGAUCUGAAAGACAAGCAUCCCGUUUUAAUAUGUCGCAGGCUCAAUGUUGUUAUGUACAAUGGUAAGUGGAAUAAUUGUUGCUCCUCAUGCAUAAUUAUAUGUUAUGUUCACCUGCCUUUGUAUUAAUGCUUUGUCUGGCUAUCUCUGUCUACUAGGAAUUGCUUUGUCAACUAGGAAUGACUCAGUUAUUCUUGUCAAUCCACCAGUCAGAGAAGCUAAUCAGCUAAAGCAUUGGUUUUUUUCUUUCCUUCCUGAGAUUUUUCCCAUAUCUUCUCACAUGCCAUUACUUAUCAUUUCGUAUUACCAUUUGCAUUCAUGCUUUUCAACAGGGCUGCCAGGAAUGAAAAAAGCUUUGCGGGGCUUCUUCAGGAUAACAUGCAUGCUAAACAAAGUCCUCAGCUAUUUCACGAAUCACAUCAGAAAAUUAUUUCUAUCAUUGAUGUUGUACCAACGCAAAAGGUUUGCAUUUGUACCCAUUUUAUAUUUUUUCCCCUUUUUCCAGUAUGCAGCAAAAAACUAACCUACCUUUUUCUUUUUGUAAUACUUUUUAGGUUUCAUGGGUUAAGGCAUAGAUUUCUUUCAAACACAUUGUUCAAAAAUACUAUUACAUGGGUUGCAUAAAAUGCCACCGCAUGACUGCUGCAAACUUUGGAACUACGUUUACUUGCAAUCACUGUAAUGAGAAACAACAGGCUUCUCCCAGGAAAGCAAUCUCGACUUGCAAUUCAUUGCUUUAUGUGAAAGUACAGGUUUUCCUCAAAGCCAAUGUAUUGUCUAAUCUUAACUCGAGCUUUAUUACAUACAGGUGUCGCUUUGAUGUAGACCUCACUGACCACACUGAUACACUCACUGCAUCUGUGUUUGGUGACUUAGCUGAAACUUUGCUCACAUUUACUGCACUUGAAGCAAUGAAUUAUCACGAAGAGGUUGGAUACAUAUCCAUAAAAAAGGCUUAAAGAAAUUUUGCACAAAUCGAUGACGCUUUUAUUUCUUUUAUAUAUAGAAUGCAGAAUUGCCGCUAGAAAAAGUCCAUCAGGAACUACAAUCAAAGAUGUUCACAAUACAGCUAAAGCCAGCAGCUACCAGGGAUGGAGGAGGUCAUCAGCGUUAUACAAUUGUCUAUUGUUUUGAGGAUGCAAGCUCUGAAGAAUCUGCUAACAAGUCUGCAAAUCCUAAUGUCCAGACUUGUUUUGAGGAAGUUGGCAAUACUGUCCCAGCAAGUGUAGCACCAGGUUUGUAUGCGUUUAAAAAAACUUUUAUAGCUAUACAUCCUUAAUCUAUUAGGUUCACUGAUACUUCUCAAUAAAUUGCUUUUAGAAAACCAAGUUUCUUCAUCAAAGGUGCGAAUUCGUCUUGAUACAAAGUUUGAUCAAUCUGAAGAUGCAAACGACAAUACAUCCAAAGACGAGAAGGCAUCCAUCAGCAAAAAGGCAAAGAAAAAUUGAUUGCCUUUCCGUUCCUUAGUUUUCUGGCUAUGAAUUCAGAUGUCUAUGUCUUUUGCUAAUGCUUAAAGCAUUCAUUUUGCUGCAGCUUUUGAAACUAUAUAUCGAACUUAUAACCUACCUUUUUGAAGUCUUAGCUUUAUCAACCAUCUGAACAGAUGUCUGACACGUAUUGCUAUCCCUUAUUAGUCAUUACAUUAUCUGCUGCAAUUCUAUAUAUAUUAAUUGUCUGACUUUUGUCAAUAGCUUGACAGCUUUUAACGUCUAAAUGCCUGCUUCCAAUUAAUGCAAACAACAACUAUAUUCAUUGUUGCACACUUGCAUUAUAGCCAAUGCUUCAUCCACCUUCCACCAAACUCAUUUAUAUUAAAUGCCUCUCUCUCGCUCUUUUUCUCAGCUUAUUGUUUAAAAAUGCUACAGAGUCUAUUCAUGCAUUGUUUGUGUUCUCCUUUCCUUCCAGCUGCUCCUCCCCUUUUUAAGCCUUUUCCUACAUAACAAGGCGUCCAAAUGUGCAGCUUCGAUGCGAAUAUAUCCAAACAUAAACUUUAAUCCCAGCUCUUUGUACAGUAGCCAAUUCCUCCACCAAACCUUUGUACUUAGCAUUCCUUCCUAACAUUUCCCCAUACAUACUUAGCGGUAGAAAUGAAUGGGAAAAAAAAUCCGUUUAAAAGAUGGGAGUUAGUUCGAGUUGCCAACAAAGUGAAGUUUUAUCUUCGCACAUUUGAUCAUACAAAGAUUCAUGCAGCAACCGGUGUUAGAAACCAGGAGGGAAAAAUAGUAUACUCUGUCGAAAAAAAAUUUGCAGAGGCUUUCCCCAUGGUAUUUACGUGCAUGGGUGAACCAUCAUUAUUUUCACUUGCUUCGGUUAAACAAUGGUUGCAAAAUAUCAUCCUUAUUUCUUCACAGGCAUUCGUCCCCCAAGGCAAGUAUCCUUUCCUGAUUACACCACUGUUAUAAAAUACAUGAAAAUCUUAUUGUUUUUCUUUUUCCCAUAGAUCCUCCAAAGAUUACUCGAAUAUUAAAUGGACAGCCUUGGUGUUAUGUACUCUUUUGCACAGAUAUGGAGAACCAGGUGCUUUUAAUAACCAAUUCUGGCUCUUGGAUUACGUUUAUCAUAUAUUUACAGAUCUCUUCUAUUCGCAGGACAUUCCUGUGGAAAUGUUUCAAUAUAAUGGCUUUGCAGAAGGACAGACCAUUACAGUUAAACAUGGCCUUGCUGAAUGGAGUCUAAAAAUCACAGAUCAUUGUUUUGGAGGCGAAUGGAACCUUUUUUGCAAACACAACUAUAUUGACCUAAAUGACAUGCUUUUCUUGCGAAAAAGAUCAGAUUUCAUAUAUGAUGCACUGACUUUCUCGAGCAAUUGUCUACAAAUCUGGACACGCUGGACCUUGCCCUUAUCAAUGAUCCCUUACGAAUUCUUCGUUUCACAAGGAAGCUACAAUUCUAUUGCUCUUAUACUGUGUUCCUAUGUUAUAUAUGCACUCACACAUUCUUUCCUUUCAUUACAGAAGAUAUCAAAAGCCAGCCGAGUGCAACUUUGAUCACCUCGUCAAUCAAUCGAUUCUUCUCUCACGAUCUUAUGGCAUUAGAUGCUUUUUACCAAAUUUUUUCUUCCGAUGCUAAGUAUUCAAUGGUGUGCGUUUUCUCCCGUUAAACAUAUCCAUGGUUUUCUAAUCCACUUCUCCUUUUUUUAUCUUUAUUACACAAAUUUGUUUCUUUUCCAGGAAGUUCCCGAGCAUGCUCAUCCAAGAUUACAUGAAUCAAGAACCCCAACUAUGGUCCUCACAAGUGGAACUAAAAACUAUAUCAUUGGAAUGACCGACAACAGAUUUCACCAAAACUGGAACAAAUUUGUUGAUGAUCAUGGUCUUCACCAAGGAGAAAUACUUGUAUUCAUACCCCAGUCCCGUACAUCCCUUACUGUUUUAAUUUUCGGAAUCAACGGCAUAGAAAUCAUGUAUCCAUGGCAUCAUACAUUUUACCUUUAAUAUAUUUGAAUCUUUGAUUACCAAAUUAGUUAGCUCUUUACAUUUCUCCCAUGGUUUUCGUUUGUUAACCAAAACAUGUACUUCCAAUAUAAUUUCUGAUCUACAUUUACUUAUCAGCAAUCCCAACUCCUAUUUACAUAAUUUUAACCCUUCAUGGGCAUUCGCAUUUUAUAUUCCACCGCGCGAAGUGCGGUUUACCUCUCCUAGUUGUAUAAUAAGUUGUAACAUUGUACGAAAAUCUACUAAAGCAGUGUGCUACAAUUUUGGUUCGGAUGUAAUGAAUUCAAUUCUGAGGAAUUAAAAAUAAUAAUAACUUUAACUUUAAUAAUAUCCAUAGAUUUGAUUACUUAACUCAUUUCAAAUGUAACAAAUAUCAGCUAGGAAAUAGCAGGUUGGACUUCUAGCUUUGUGUUUACUGCCCACCAUUAGUUAUUUAGGGGCCAUUGAGCUCCUUCUUGCUGUUAAUAUUUAUGGGAAAAUCGUUCAAAAAAUCCCUCACAUUUUACAAGAUGACUUUUUUCGUCAUUCACUUUUAAAAGUGUAAUUUAACAUCCCUUACAAAUUUAUAUUGACCAAAUUUGAUCCCUACCUAGGUUUCCGACUAAUUUUUUGUCGGAAUUCAUCACGUGACUUGCAUGUGAUCAUUUUUUAAGGACAAAAUUAUCAAAUCAAUUUUUACAUAAUCUGAUUCAUAGUCCCUCACAUUUCACAAAAUGAAUUUUUUCAUCCCUCACAAUUUUCAAAAUAAAUUUUUUCAUCCCUCAUUGAUCAUGUGUACGAAAUAGCUUUUUUCUAUAAACCCACGUAUAUGUAUAUUUAAUUUUAUCUAAACAGUAUGAAUAACAUAUAAUUCAUCUCUAUUGGAUUUUAUCUAAACAUGCUAAUCGUAGUUAUACACAUUUUAUUCAAUAGAUCUAUAGAGGGGUUUAAAACUAAUAAUUUUGUUUGAAACCCAUGUAUAUAUUUAUAUGAUUUUACCAUUUAAACCUAUUCAAUAUUUGUGACCUUUCUCCUUUGGUAAUAAUUUAUUUAUUGAGUUGUAUAAUAAGAUCAUCUAAUUAAUGGGUCCUAACUCGAAUUUUAUAAUUGUGCUAACAAAUUUCAAUUUAAAUUUGAAAUUUCUACUCGACACAUUUAAGACCAACAGUUGAAUUACUUGCCUUGUGAUUGUUUUAAAAUUUGAAAGUGCUAAUCAUUUAUUUCUUUUUGUCAUACUUUUCUUUUGUUUACUUUUUUUGUCCAAAUUUAAUUCGAUAUAAACACUCGAUAAUAUUUAGGAUUAAAUGUUUUCUUUAUUUUCAAAUUUUGAGUAAAAGAAAAUGAAUAUAAGUGAAAAACUAACAAUUUUUUUAAACCUAUGUAUAUAUCUAUUUGAUUUCACUUGAGUAGUACGAAUAAUAUGUAAUAUAUCUUUAUUUGAUUUCACAUGCUAUUCAUACUAUUCAGGUGAAAUCAAAUAGAUAUAUACAUGGAUUUAAAAAAAAUUAUUUACAUACAUGAUCAAUAAAAGAUGAAAAAAUUUAUUUUGAAAAGUGUGAAGGAUGAAAAAGUUUAUUUUGUGAAAUGUAAGGGACGAAAAAAUUUAUUUUAUGAAAUGUGAGAGAUUAUGAAUCAAAUUAUAUAAAAUUUGAUUUGAUAAUUUUGCCCUUAAAACAUGAUCACAUGCAAGGCACGUGGUGAAUUCCGACCAAAAUCUAGUCAGAAACGUAAGUCGGGACGAAAUUUGACCAAUGUAAAUUUGUAAGGAAUGUAAAAUUGCAUUUUUAAAAGUGAAGAACGAAAAAAGUUGUUUUAUAAAAUGUGAGGAACGUUUUGAAUGAUUUUCCCAAUAUUUAUGAUCAAAUUCAAUGGCUGUUGAUCAAACUUCCUCAAUUAUCUCCUUAACUGAAUUUAAAAGAACUUUAGGGAUGCUAAUUAUCAUCGGUACUGCAUGCAAAUCGUCAUCUGUAGUUUAUUAUAAUCCCAUAUUCAAUUCUGGAGUUAACAAAUUUUUUUCCCUAAAAAGUUCCGUCAACGCCUUAGUAGUCGCAUCUACUCCAGGGGUCAAUCUACUUUGCUGGAAAGUGGUUUAGGAAAAUUGAACAGAUCAUUCUACACAAAUGUUUCCGCUUCAGUAUUCUGUUGUUCUUCUGUUAUCACCCUGGCGUGCAACUGAGGUUGCAUAUUACUAGCAGAAGUUCGGACUUUUUGCUAGUGGUAGAACACAAAGCUUGUUACGAGUACUAAAAGUUGUAUCCAUGCCUGUUUUACAAGAAAUUGUUCAUAAAAAACCAACAGGAAAAUGGUUGUGAGUUCUAACAGUUUUACUGAUUAUAAUUUGUUGAGAUUCUUAAUGUCUCAAGGGACAAAGGGUUAGUCAUGCUUCGCUGCUUCAUUAGCUACAAAAAUAUCGUUCUUUCAACUAAAAAUGAUGAUGCUUCGGUGCUUGCUGUGAGGAUUCUCUGGCAAUCAAAUGGUUCAUGACUUUUAGACCAUGGAAAUGGCCUAAAAGGAGAGAGGACAAGAACAUAGAUAACUUCAAGAAAUUCUUGAGCCAUCUCAAGUCAUAAACAGUUCUGCAUCACCAUAUGCUCAAAUUACAAAGCGAUUAAACACAAGGAGUAAAUAUCAACCUCAACAUAACAAAAUCACAAACAAAAUCUAGUCAUUAACAAGCUCCCGUUUUCCAUGUCCCGAUCCAAAAGCAAGAUAUGAAAAUUGCACAUUGCCAUAGUUAUGUAAUUUCCCUAGCUAUUACCAGUAUGCAGAACUACUUUCAACCUGCGUUUUGUCACUAUUACCAGCAGCCAUUCCGGAGUUGGAUUAUGUUAUUUCCUUGGAACAGCAUCAACUACUCCCCAUUGGCCGAUCACAAUUUAUUGAAACAUUUUCCUGAAGCUUCACCAGCAGACCUCCAAACAAUUUUUAUGUGAACACAAUCUGGCAGUCGUUGUUGCAUCUCUUGAAUGACAAAAUUUUGCUGCGAGCUCCAAAGUGUCCAAGCACACCAACAGUCAUCUUUUUUAAAGCUUUCACAUUCUGCAAAAUAUAGUCAAUGAGCUUGAAUUCAUAUUCCUUUCCAUUGAAUUUUCUGAUUUUUACUUCCCUAAGAUGUAUCGGCAAGCAUAAUGGAACUGGCUCUGCAGAAAGAAACUCAAAUUUCUUGUCUUCAGCAGAGGAUUCAAUCCUGUCAUCCCAAAACACCUGCCAUUUGGAGAAGAAUUACAGACUGGAAUAUCUAAUCGAAUACAUUGCAGUGAGAAAAAAGGAUCAUUGGGACUCACUUCAUCAAAGACCAGCACUUGAAGAUUAGGUGCACUCUCAAGUAACCAAGAUAACAUCUUCCAGCUACGAGUAUGCUUAUCAUAAUAUUUGCGGACUUCAAGCUCAAGAUAGGUUAGCUUUUCAAAAGUUGGCAGCAACUUUUGAGAAUAAAAGAGUAACUUCAGGAAGAAACGAGAAAAUUGAUUAGACAAAUAGCCACUUGGAAAUUAGAAGUUCCAGUCAUUCUCCAAAUCAUACCAAAAAUAAUUUGAGUUAUGUAAUAACCAAAGAAGAGAAAAGAAACUACCUCCACCGUGGCAUCCAGCAAAUAAAGUGAUACCACACUUUGUGACGAAUUCAUAAGCUCAAAGGCAACCUCACAGCGUAAUAAUUGUUCUUGAUCUGAUGUUUUCACAAUAUAAGGGCAAGAAACUGAUAUUCUGGCUUCAACAAGAGACUUGUGGUUUGGGAGAAUGUUUACUUUAACUGCAUCGCCAUCAAAGUGCAAAUGUUGAAGCUUUGGGGCAUUUAUACUCGUUUUACUCGCUCCCUCAACCUCGCAUUCCAAAUUUACAGCACUAGGGAUGUCCAGAACAAUGUCCCAUUCAUCAGUCACACAAUGGAGGUAGAUUUUUUCCAGGGAAGGGCUUUUUAUCAAAAGGGUCAGAACUUCACCCUCUGAAUAUGUUAAACAGUCAAAAGACAGUUCAAUGAGCACAGGACAACCCUGAAUAAGCCUGGGAAUAGACAGCUCAUCUGUUAAUAUAAAUUGUGCCAAAUGCAGAAUCUUAAGAUUCGGCAAAGAAACUGUCUCCGGGACAUAGAAAUCAGUAAAGCGACUUUCCAGCUUCAUUUCUAGAAGUGUUUUGCAACUGAAAAUUCCUGGACAGGACAAAAUUCCCGGAGGAGAGAAUGCAUUGGAACGAUCACGUCCCACAAAAACCUCAAGCUGCUGGACUCCGCAAGAAAUUGCUGCACAUAUCAGAGAGUCAAUUGCCACCCGAAAAAUCUCAAGAAACUCUUCCAGGGAAAGAUGGAAUUUUGUCAAACAAUACGGUUUUUGCUGAAGAAUCAAUCGAUGACAGCAAUCUACCAAUCGAGCAAAUCGUUGAUAAUUGGGACCCAUAAUGUCUACAUAUUUUUUACCACUUUUCGGAUCGAAUCGUCGUAAAGACUGAUCAAAUUCCAGAUGAAUAUUGGGAAGUGAAGUGAAAAGGUAACGCCAUCGAGUGGAUAGGAUGGAGGUGGCUGCAGCUUUCUUCGUUGCAAGAAAGGAAAGGAUAUGGCAGAGAAGGUCGUUUGGAAGAGCACUUAUCCGAUCAACAUGAUCAACUUUAACAUGAUUUUGGGACUGGACUUUGACAGUUUUUUGCCUUCGAUUGCUCCGAAUUCUUGGAGCCAAAAAGGAUCUCCGGAUACGAGACAUUUUUAGCUACAUAUAAUUUGAGCAAAAAGAAAGUGCGAAGAUAUGUGAAAGCUAGCUCGAAAGAGAAAACUCAAAAGAAUUCAGGGUAGCAUUCUUUAGUUGUUUUGUGCAAUCCAAAAAUUAGCUUCAACAUCUAUAGGCCCUCUUCACUUAAUGAUGCUAAUCAGAAGUCUCACUCUCGUAUUAAUGUUUCUAAUCCGCUUUGUCUUCUCUGUUACGGGGAACUGGAGAGCUCACAUCACAAAAAUGUGGAAAAAAGUGACUUUUAUUGAUUUUUCACAAGCAUAACUGCAUGAUGUAUUAGAUGCAAUGUGUAGUUUAGCCUUACAUUUAAUAUAUGUAAUUGCAAUGUGAAACAGCAAUUAUGUAUGCUUUCCCCCAAGCGCCAGGGGAAGUUUUGAGAUUCUAUUUUAUAUUCCCUAGGAAAUUUUGAAAAUUUUUAUCGAAAAUACCCAUAGACUUUGAUAGAAUUCCAUUGCUCCUCUACACUUAACUUUCCGAUUAUGACAAAUUUAAAUUACGAAGUUCAAUUUGUCAUUAGUUGUAUUAGCUUUACAUUGACUUGUUAAAAUUUUUUCUAUUCUGUCAAGAAAAAAUUUGUUCAAAACUAAUCUAUAUACAUUUCAAUUUACUAUUUAACUUUUUGAUCUACGAAAUUUUAAAUUAAAGUACUUUGUCCUGAAUGCAAAUGAUCCACUAUAUAUGAAUUUGAAGCUGAUAAUUAAGUUCGUAUAUUUUCUAAAGUUCUUUUCUUAAACAUAUAAAACCAAUAUACAUCUAAUUAGCAAUAUUAUAUGAAUAUUUUUCAGUUACAUUUUCUCAUAAAUGAGUUCUUUUCAAAUUUGGGAUUAGAGAACACUAAAAUUAUGCUUUGUAGAAAAAAAAAGUGAAUAGUAAUUUUUUUGUUGUUAAGAUUGUAACAACAAGAAGAUAAAAAUUUGAGUAGUAAAUCACAUUUUUUUUAACUAGGGAUCCAUCCCUUAAUUUAUUUAUAUCCGAAAAGAGUACAGCGAAUUAUAAGGGGGGCCAAACCUGAGCUCUGUUAAGGUAAAAGGGACAGCUAAAGAUCAACAAUAAUACGCACAUAUGGAAAAAUCUACGAAUCUAAACACAUAACAGAUGAAUCGAACAAAAUCAUCCACAUGAUGGUGCCCCACAGUUGUGGGAUUGUGAGUGAGCAUGGGAAUUUGAUUUAACAUCUUGACGUGUUUGUAUUGUUUUACCUUUUUUUGAAAGCUGCUUCCUCGCUUUUUUUGAAAUCACUUGGGUAAAUUGCUCGUGAACUAGUUUCUGGUCUUGGUCUUCGUCUUUAUCACGUUGUGAAUCAUCAUCUUCUUCUUCAGUAAAUCACAUUUUAAUUAGUGAAAAUGCUAGAGCCAAGACUUGGGGCCAGUGGAGUCAGGAUUAUAUAGAAUCAUUACUAUUCAGUUUAAAUUAUAUAUAAUGUACUUGUUUUAAUUUUUUUUCUAUGAUCUUCUCAAUUUUUGGUUUAAUAAUAGUAAAAAAAUUUUGUAUCAAAAGAGACAGUUUGAGAGAUAUUGGCAUUUAGGAAUGUCAAUCUAAUAAGAGAUGUGGAAUUUUCCAAAUAAAAGGGGGGCAAUGUGAAAUAGGAGGUGUUUUCUACAAUUUUGGAAGGGGAAGGGAAUUGACUUCUUGACAUAUAAAUUUGAUUUAAAUUUUUUUUUACUUUGAUUUGCAAUCAAAUAUCAAGUUUGGAUAGUUAACUGCAAAAACUAAAUACAAGAAUGGUAGUGACCGGAUUCAAAACAGGCCACCCAAAAUGUUUUUAGGAAAAAAAAAUGGCCAAAAUUUAAGAAUUACACUUGCAAGUGAUAAUUCUUUAUACAUAAAAUGCCCCUCUCCCCAGAAAAAAAUUCUUGCCUCUGUGACAGGUAUGUAAAUACUAGUUUGGCAAUACAUCUAUUGCAUCUCGCAUAUCUCAUUUUUGUAACUAUUAAUAGCAUGUUGCUUUGAAAAGUAAAUAAAUUGAAUGAAAUUUAAUUUAUCUAUUUAUAUAACUUUGAAUAUUAGGUAAAGUGUACCUCUUUUGGUACUUUCUUUCAAAUUUUUUCUAAUCUACCUUUUAUACUUAAUUUAUUUAUUUUUGGUUUUGACAUAAUUAUCAAAGUUAAUAUUAUAUACACUAGCAGUAUAUAUAGUAUCAUAGUUGGAUGAUACUUUUGCAAAAUUUAGAUUUUAAAUUUAAAUUCAGAUUAAUUGUUAUACAUCUAAUGGAGAUAGUAUACACACUACUAAUGGAUGGAAGAUUAAUCCUUAUUAUUAAACAUAACAAUCACUAAUAUCAUAAAUAAGCCAUAUUGAAAUAUAACAUUUUAAAAUCCUCUAAAUAAUCAAACAUUAAAUAAUUCAAACAUUUGUCCAAUAGUGAAGUCUAAUUCCAACUUUAAUCAAUACUGAUUUUUUUAUAAUCAAUGGAGAAAUCUUUGAUAAUAAUGAAUAUGGAUUGUGUUCAAUCAAUACCAUGGUGAAAAUCAGCAAUACUUCAUUGCACAAUUCUUUGUCAUUAAUCGCUUAACCAUGAUUUUAAGUUACCAAGCAAAUUUUCACACACAAAAAAAAAAAAAAAACAAUGUACAACUUUUUAUCACCAUAGGUUAGUUGGUGUUGUUAUCAGCGUUUUGCUCAGCAAAUUAUUUGUAUAUAUAAUUUCUUUCCUACAUGAGUGUUGCUCGGAUCCUUCAUUAAAGUCAAUCAACUUUAGUUGUUCAAAGCAAAACUGAUUUUGCAGCCUCGCACCUCAUGAAUUUCUUUUUCCCCUUUAUGGAAUAUCUACUAUGUCUAAAAUCUUUUAUAUCAAGAGUUGAAAAGUACACUAAGAAUUAUUUCUUAAAUUUAUGAUAAAUUCUUUUACUUAUUUUUAAUUGCCUUAGUUAGAUGAAAUAGUAGUGUUUCGACGUUUACAUAUCAAUUUUAUAACUUUCAUUUGGUACAUAUAAAACUUACAACCAAAAUAGGAGUGUUUAAAAGAUUAUAUAAUUCCUUGUGCAUAAGGUAUAAAGGAAACUUUUUCCAUUCUAAUUUGGUAUUAAGUUUUCCAUUCUUGCUCAAUUAUCUAUUUAGCCAUAAGGUGUAGAGAUAGUAAAUUGAGCAAGUUAUGAGAAUCUUUUAUUAAUAUUAAAAUUAUUUCUAUGUUGUAGAUAUAUUUCAGCAUUGAUUUUCAUAUAUUUUUCUUGUUUGUAAACUGAGUAUUUGCAAAUAAAAUAAACUGCAUUAAAAGAUUCUCUUUGUGUUUUAAAAUGAAAUAUAAACAUUAAAACGAAUUUAUUUACACACUAAAAAGUAUCAUUUAUACUCUUACCCCUAUGGUUGCUCACUGUUAUUUUGCAACCUAAAUUUUUUCAUUUUUUCGUAAUCUUUGAAUUUCAAAUGUUAAAGAUCGCAUGAUAUUUGUUGUUAUCUUGACCGAUUCAACUUCUUUCUCCCACUUGACAAUAAUCUCGAUGCACAUUAAUUGUGCAUUUAUCUUCCACUAUAAACUUAUAAAUCCAAUUUGAAUUGCUAUCUAAACAUGGUUUCAAACACUAAUUACAUUCACAUUAGUAUAUCAUAGCAUAUACAAUAUUAGCAUAAAGAACAACUUGUUCUAAUCUUUCACUUUUGACAAUUAACCCACAAUGGUUGGACAAAUAAUACCUUCUUAAAGUUACGACUGACAUGAUUAGCGUAUCAAUUCUUGUUUCUAAUCUAUCAUGUCAAGUCCUUCUCUUAUUUUUUUUUCUCCUUUUGCGUUAUAAUUGUAAUUUGAAAUUUCUACUUCAAGAUUACGAGUAAAUUUAGGCAAGUUUUAGUUGCCGCUGAUUUGUCUAUACUUAUGUUCGAGUUGCUUUAUAAUGACACAUAUUGUUUUUUAGAUGCAUCAUUGGGGAGCCACCAAAGUUUUUCAUUUUUAAUUUUUUAUUAUUCAUGUAGAACCCAAAAAUUCUACUAGAAAAAUAUGGGAGAUAUAUUUGACAAAUUCAAUAUGAGGGAAGGCAAUUUACACACAUAAAAAUAUGUGUGAGAGAAGAGAAAUAAUACCAGCAAUAAUCUAUUAAUUACAUUAUAAGAACGAGACUCUCAAUCCUUACUCUUCUGAACUAAAUACAAUAAUAUAACUUCAUAUUUAUAAAUUAGAUGACUUGAUAAACAAGUCUUAUACCGCGAGAAAGUUCCUAAUAAGAUACUAAUUCCUAACUAAUAAAACUACUACUUGAGAUCUAUGGUUUAAACCGAACACAGCGAGUUUGAAUCCUCUCUCUCUCUCUCUAUCUCAUGAACCAUUGGCAAAUCUAAUUAACCAUGGCAGCCGAGUCUGCCCCCCUCCUCCGGGUGGGGGGCUGUCGGCCUUUUCCUCCCCCUUUAGGAAGAAGGCCUUCUCUGCGUUGUUUGAGCCACAACCGACGUCCGAGGUAGUGCAAGUUCAAGCGAGGAUGACAACACACCGUGGAGAGCCUGCGGUGGUCUUCAGUGCGGCUGACAUAGCAGUGGUUGCUGCUCCAUUCCGCUACACUUUGGUUGGGAAGUUCUCUAAGGGGCGGCCGCUGCUGCCUGACCUGAGGAAAUUCUUGUCGACUCUUGAUUUGAAGGAUACGGCGACUGUGGGAUUGUUAGAUGCUAGGCAUGUGUUGCUGAAAUUUCAGUGUGAAGCGGAUUUCCUUCGCGUUUGGGGACGAAGUUUGUGGUACGUGAAUGGAUCCCCCAUGAGGGUUUUUAAGUGGACAUCUAAGUUCCAUGUGAACAGAGAGUCUUCCCUUGUUCCCGUCUGGUUUAGAUUGCCCAAACUCCCAAUUCACUUAUUUGCUAAGCCAUGUCUAUUUCAUCUUGUCUCCUGCUUGGGUACGCCGCUAUUCGUGGAUGCGGCUACGUCUUCGUUUUCGCGACCGAAUGUGGCACGGGUAUGUGUCGAGGUGGAUCUGCUCAAAUCGAUUCCAUCGAGGGUGUGGGUCGAUAUGGGAGAUGGGGAUGGUUUUUGGCAGGUUCUUAUCCCUGAGAACCUCCCUAAUUAUUGCAGCCACUGCUAUCGUCAAGGGCAUGGCGAGAAUCAUUGCCGUGUGAAGCACCCUGAUUUGCGCUUGCACAAGACGCAUGAGAAUCUGGUCACAGGGGUGAUGGGCACAAAGGUUCGCUCCUCACCAGCUAACACGCAGCGUACAGAGGAUGAGGAGCGAAGGGGGGUGAGUGAAGGAGAUGGGGUGAAAUCUGGUGCGACACAGAAUUCGGGUAAGAGCCAUUCCGAGGGGUCAAUGCACGUUGACACCCCUACUACUGCUGUGGGAGAUGCAUCGUGCUUACUGAACCAGCUUGGAGGGUCUACGGUUGUGCUUGUGGAGAAGGGGAUAGAGGCUGCUGCUGAUGCCAUUCUUCACGCUAUGGCUGACCGCGUGAUUGGCGAACCAGAGGAAGUGCUGGAAGGGACUGCUAAUACGGGAGAAUUGGCGCUGGUGGAGCUGAACGUGGUAGCAGGCCUAGGCAUGAUGGAGCCCAUAGAGGGGGCUGCUGUGCCAGGGCAAAACUGCAACGAAAAAGCUGUCAAGCAUGGAAAAGCAAAGUUAGUUGUUGAUGACCAAAGGGAGGGACCAUGCGAUCACAUUGCUGGAAAUGAUUGUGAGGAGUCCCAUAUUCUAGUGGAGCAAAUAUUGGGAGAUGGUCAGCAGCAAAUGGCCGACAAUACUUCAAUUAGAAAUCAAAAUGCUGAAAAUUCUAAUUGGAAUAAAAGUGAUGGGUCCCAAGCUUUUGAGAAGCAGAAUUUGGGAGACGAUAAUCAUCAAAAGGUCGACACCACUGACCCCGACAUUGCCUUACCACUCCUUGUGGUUCCAAGUACAAGUACAAGAACAGAAACGAAAACCACGGUGCCUCAAAAUCCAGUGCCAGCUUUCAAAGAUGUGUUCGAAGAGGUUAAAUGGGAAAAAUUACAUGGUACACUUCCCCGACCACAUCAAAUUAGUUUUAUUCGUUCAAGUAUAACAUGCAAUAACGACAAAAAAGAAGAAGAAGAAGACGAUUCACAACACGACAAACACAAAGAUCAAGACCAGAAUCUAGUACAACAGCAAUUUACCCAAGUGUUUUCAAAGAAAGCGAGGAAACAACUUUCAAAAAAAGGUAAAACAAUGCAAACACGUCAAGAUCUCAAACCAAAUUCCAAUGCUCACUCGCAGUCACACAAAUGUGGAGCACCCUCGUGUGGAUGAUUUCUUUGGAUUGAUCUGUUAUGUCUUUACAAUUCCUUUAAAAAAAAAAAAAACUAAUAAAACUACCAUAAUUUGAUUCCAAUAGAAUUACUAAAACCCUAAUUUGACUAAAACACUACUAAAUAAUAAUAUGAAAAUUUCUAAUUUUGAAUCUUGAUUUAAUAUGCUAACAUUGUCUCUCUUAAAUCGAACUCUCUAAUGAAUCAGGUUCACCACCAUUACAGAGAGAUCAAGUUCACCACGAUCACAAUCAAUAAUCUCCCUUGAUUUUUGGGGCCAUAAUAUUCCACGCACCUGUACAAAUUUAUCUCGUCACUCAACUUAUUUUUCACUUGCAAAAUAAUCCACGCCUUUGGAUAAACUAUUUUCGUCGCCCUAUUUGAUGUCAAUUUAUUGACCAUUUACUUUUUGAUUUUUAUAAUCACAAUUCAACUAAUAGGAUUUUUCUUCGAUCUUUGUCGUAACAUCCACAAUCAAUCAAUCUAACAAUUCUGGAACUAAUCUUAUGAUCCAAUCCUCACAAACUAGACACUCCAUGACCAGCCAUGUGGUCUAACUAGAUCAACUAAUUUUUUCGCAACAAUUUUUAUACUCUAACUCUGAUAGCGGAAAACAGUUAUAACUAACCCUCAUAAUCGGGUCAAUUUUUUAAUGUCUACAGGCACCUCAAAUCAUUAACUUGAACCAAAAGUAAAGAAAACUGAGCAGGUUAAGGCAAUUGAACUUAAUUCACAUAGGUAAAAAGACAUGGUUCAAUUUAUUUUAACAUCUAAAACCCAAAGAAAGGCUGACAGUCAUCAAUUAAAAAACUCUGGCAGCUAGUAAUAUGUCUGCUGACUUUACAAAGACUGGAACUUUCUUUUCAUACCUGCCCAUAAGCAAACGUACAGCAAUUGUAUCCAUAUAAGCAAUUCUCCACCAUUAGCACACCAAUUACCCUGAAAAGUGUUUCCUGCAAAAGGAAUAUAAGAAUUUCAAUUGCACUAGCUUAAAACUGUAUACAGCUUUAUAAAAGCUAUAAUCAGCUUGUUGAGUUUUUUAGAAACCUGGUCUACUGUUUCACAUGCAACAUGAUCAAAUGUAAAUCUUGUUUCAGGUUCCCAGACCAGGUGAUACUUUCUGCUGAAUCCUGCUUUAAGCACGGAGAAUAACCAUCAGUGCUUUUCUCUACACUAUUGAAAGGCUGCACUUGUACGAAAACCUUUACGAAUCUAACUGCAAAUUAAUGUUAACCUCCAUAAUUAAUAUGAACUGAUGCAAAUAAAAUGAUAAUAUAAUUUUGGACCUACUCAUCAAGAAUUGAAAAUAAUCUAUCCCAUAGGAUUAAAUUGCUACAUUUAAACUGGAACGAUACAGAAUAUAAUAGAAUCCAUUUCACAGAAAUAAGCUAAUUACCUGUACGUUGUUCUCUGACCAAAAGGAUGAAUCCUUCUUGGUUUCAGAAUGAUGAACCUCAGCAGUAUUCAUGGCAGAAAAUGAACUACAGCUAGAAACCGAUAGCCCUUCAGGAAGAGUAGCAAUCUUGGACUUCCGAGCACUGCCAGUGACCUGUGAAGGUUUUCUAGCCAAACAAGAACAUGAACUCGGAGGCUUGCUCAAAUUACUCUUGGUCCUACUCGAGUAACUGCACCGGGGAAUUGUACUGCUCAUAUCAAUUUUCCCUUCAUCCUUCAUUCCCGCAGCAGUUGAACUGGAAGAAUCACUUCUUUCUUGCCUAUUGGGUGUAACCUGAGAACACAAUGAGUCCUUUGUGUCCAUUAGAGCAUGAACGAGAUUUCUUGAUACUUGACAAAAUUUCAGUACAACUUCAGAUGAUCUCUUAACACUGUAGUACAGAUUUGAGGACAAUAAUAUAAAGCAUAACAAGAGUAACAAGGAAAGAAUGGACUCUGGAUUUUCUACCUGAAAGAUGGAGUGAGAAAACACGAAUUAUACAGAAAAAGGCUGAUUUUAUAUUGAUUUGAAAUUCAGUAACAAGGAAAAUGAACUGAAGAUUUAUGGCACAAAAGUUUGAAUUAGUUUGAUCAUAGUGGCUACUCUCCAAUAGUCGACCAAGAAAAUUGAAAGGGCAACUUCAAAUUUGUUGAUAAGUAAUUAUUUUACUAAAUUUUUUGUAGUCAUUUGAUUUAUUUUUAAGCGUGUUUUUAAUUAAAAAUGAUGACAUUAAGCUCUAUUUAGCUAACAUUCAUUCAAAGUGAGGAAUUGAAUUGGAAAAUGCUUUUGAGCAAAAUUAAUGAAUUUUUUGGAUAAUUUUUGUAGGGAAUUGAAGCACGUGGAAGUUGCAAAGAUUCAAAUUGAGAUGAUUAUAAUGUAAGUCAAUUACAGAGGAAGCAAGUGAUUUAAAGUUGGAGAAUUUAAAGCUUCAAAAUUGCAAUGAAAAAUUCAACUUUUACGCAUUCGGACAUGAUCCACUAACCACAAAUGUUAGUCAACAGCAGAGGAAGUGACCAUUUGACGUUUCUCUCUCAAUGGAGAUAGGGGAGCCUAAUCUGCAAGGUGAUCUGCAAGCUUUGACUUGCAGAUCCACUUAGCAGAUCCUUGAUAAAGAUGGGCCCACUUGCAAUUCGAUUUCUAGCUUUUUCCUAGCUCAUUUCCAACUCAAUUUAUCAGAGAUUCUCGAUUGGAGCUGUAUGAUUAAGACUUGAAGAAUCAGGGAACAACUUUAUAUCUUUUCAGUUGUGACUUUUUCUCCGUAUAGUACAUACAUUAAAGAUAAUAGAUGAUAGGAUAGAGUAGAGAAACUAGUUAAGUUAGGUUUAGCAUCAAGUGAGAGGUACUCUUGUGAGAAAAUAUUGAUGUGAGUUUGCAGGUGAACUACAAAGUUGUGAAGAGAAGAUUAAAGAGCUUGUUUCAUCAUUUGAAGAACUCUUCUUAAUCCCUUACUCUUUAUUUCUUAAAGUUCCUUCAUGUCGUACUUUUCUUACUUUACAAGUUUUGUGUGUUUAAUACAUAUGAGUAGUUAAACUCUUUCUUCCUAGGGAGAAAGAUGAAUUUAUAGCUUCUUAGAUUGUAUUCACUUGAGUUGAUUCAAAGGUGAUUUGUGAACAUGUUAGUUCAUAUAUUUGCAUCUCACAUUUAUGGUCAUUUGAUCAAUAACUAUAAAUCAUUCAAGCAUGCAUUUGUGCAUGAAAUUGCCUUGCAUGUGUAGUUCAAGAUAUAUGAACCUUAAUUUGCGUUUUCACGUUAGUAGGAGAUGCGUCUAAGUGGAUUCAAGCUUGCAAUUUCAUUGAGUUUCAUAAACUUGUGCUAAAUUAAUUCAUCUUGUCAAUAGGUGAAGAUUUAGUAUAAGCAUAUUUGUUUAUUUCUGAAAGCAAUAUACAAACAACUUUGGAAAUUACUUCCUUAACAAGCCACAAAUCCAAUUUAAGCACUUGCUUUGAGUUACAAGGAAUUCUAAUCCUUAGGAUUUCUUUUAAUGUGAAUCUUAACCUAACUUAAUCUAACUUGUUCUUUGCUUUUGAUUUAAUUCUUGUUCUCUACUUCCUACAUAGUUGAUUUUACCACCUUACGACCGGUUUUAUAUUAUGUUUUAUGGCCGGUUAUACUGCCUAAUCCUUUAUAUUUCUUGUUUAUUUAUGUAUUCGGUGUUUUAUAUAAUAAAGCAAGUUAAAAAGCCAUACUACUUAACCAAGUCAUUGUGGGAUUGACUGUGAUACCCCGACUUUUAGGAUAUUACGGUUUCUAUAUUUUAUUUUUCUUUUAAGACAUUAUUUUGCUUUAAAGAUUAGAAACCCUACUUGUACUCAAAACCCUAGUUUUACUUGUGACUAAUAGGUUUUCUUAAAUCUCUCAUAUUUUAGUUGAAAACCUAAUUUUAAUCUAUGGAAUUGCAAAAUCCAUCAUAUUUGUCUAAAUCCAUUAUCUUAUAAUAGCUUUACUACUCAUUUAUCCCCUUAAGAAUUGCAAUUCACCCUAGAAUCAAGGAUUUUUCAUUUCGAUUCGUAGUUUGCGUAAAUUCAAGUUUUUACGUAUUUUGGUAAUGUAAUUAAUCGGUAUAGACUGUGUAUAAAUUUAGUGAUUAAAGAGUGAGUUUUAGAUGAUAUUAAGUGUGUGAUUAGAAGUGAUAAAAAUAAGUUAGUGAAUUAUAAGUGAAAAACCCUAGUACGUGCGAGUUAAGGAAAACGGUGAGAACCCGAUAUUUUCUUGUUUUCUAGCCCUUAUUUUAAUUCUGUGCAUACAUUUUCUAUACUUUCCUGUAUUAUAUUAAUUUUCUAGCUAUUUUUAUAAGGGAAUUAAGUUCUAAGACAUUUUUCUAGUAUAAGUUAGUUCAUGUGACAUUAGUAGUGCAUAUUAGGCGUGGGAACUGCUAGUGCGGUUAGUGCGGUAAAAUUUUAACGACUAGAAGGAGUUUUGUGCAAAAGAAAUUAUGUGACAAAAGGUGUUAAGAGAUGAUUGGAGGAGUAAUAGAUAUUUGAGUGCUUAAGAGAGACAAUUAGAUAGACUUCCCUUGGAUUUAUGCCACUUGUCAAGCACCAAGCCAAUCUUGACCAAGACCAUGACCAAGAUUAAGCUUAAUACUUAUCCAACUCAAGUCAAUCACCAUUUUUUUUCUUUGCCUUCCAUGAUGGACGAAAUUUGGGAGGAGAAGAAGAGAAAAAUACUCCAUUUUCAGCCUUGAUCUCUUGCUUGAAUCAUGGAAGAAAAAAAAACCAAGAUCAACCCUAAUCCACUCCAAUCAACCUUGAGAUAAUCUAGAGGGGAAGCUCUUGGAGAAGUUUUGGAGAAAGACACCCUUGAGUACUUCUUGCUUGGCUGUCCAUCUAAGUUUUGAAGGUAAAGAGGAGAACUUUGCUAGAAAUUCUGCCUUAUCUUUGAGUUUCUUUGAUAGAUGAUGUUAUAGAAGCUAAAGGAAGGAUUUGUAUGGUAGCUUUCAUGAUUUUCAGAUUGUGUUGUGCUUUUCCCAGCAUUGUUUUGUGGAAUUUAGGAGGUAAAAUUGAUAGCCACCUUAUCUUUUUCACUUGUCUUUGUAUCUACUUGAUGGAUGAUACUUUAUAAGGAAAAAGGCAUGACUUUUAUGAUAGCUAUUAUGGUAUUGUUAGGUUUGAUGAAAUUUCCAGCUUUGAUGAUGAAAUGCUCUGUUCUGACCAGUUCUAUUCGUGUAUGACGGAGACCGAAUUAGGCUUAGGCUAAAACAUGAAAGUUGUAUAAAAUAUGUUUUAUAUCUUCCUAUAAAAUUUCAACUCAAUCCGAGCACAGUAGCAUGUAAAAAGACAAAAAUACCCUUGACUGCCAUAGGUAGAGCUCUGUGGACAGUUUUGACAUUUCUGGCUGCAUUUUUUCACCUUGAUCCGUAGUGAAUUAGCAUUUGGCCAAAACACAAAAGUUGUAAUGCUAUUUUUUAGCUUUCCAAUGCACCUGAAAAUGUCUCAAUUGGACUUUUGUAGCCAGAGUUAUUGUCAUUUGAACACAGUGCUGUUAACCAGCCUGAUGUUGAAAUUCUGGUUCAAUAAUUUGUAAAUUUAACCUAGAUACACUAUGAACUAGGUUGAGUUGUCGUCAUUGUCAUUGAAGUUGUAGCCCUUUGUCUUAGCUUCAAAAAAGUAAAAAUUUUACGCCAAUCCGAUAGGUGUAGCUUCGGUUGUGACCAAUACGCUAAAAGACGUCAAACCUGUCAUUUUGUUCUUUGUCUUAAACCUUAUUUCCGAUCACUUUUCUAGCUUGGUUUUGUAAUUGAAUGACUUUUAGCCUAUUGAAUGGCUAUUGUAAUGAGAUUAUUUGUGUGUGAUUUUGGGGGUUAAUUGAGGAAAAUAAUGAAGCCGUAAAGGGCCGGAAAAUAGGUAAAUGCAAAGGGUGUGCUGCCCAAAGUUGCACUCGAGAACUAGGUAAAUGUACUCGCGACUUGAGUAAGAGUUGAGGAUGAAACUAACUUGAAUCAUCUAAGGUAUUCAAAUCUUCUUUAUUAGAGGUAUAUAAGCUGAAAUUUGGCUGAAACUUGUACCCUUGAAAAAAUGAAAUUUAUGACUAAUAGAAAUACGUUUUCUUCGUUUCUUCGACUCCAAUGGAGAUUUCAAAGUUUUACGAGCGAGCAUAAGUUUUACAAAAAUUUUACUCGUGUCCUUUGGUUUAAAUGUACUCUUUUCACUUCCAAAACUAUACUUAUACUUUGUACUAGUAGUUAUUCGAAUUUUCUUUGGUUCACCUAAACUUUGAAUGGUUUAGCUGUAAUAUUUUCUCUUGAUUAAUCUUAGAGUUUAUUGGUGAUUGAGGGUAAUACCCGGAAGACUACUUUGGACGUUCUUUUGCGUAAAUAGGUAAGUGUUCAUUGUUUUUUAUGUUUCCAUUAACUAUAUGAUUUUUUGUAGAUAUUUGAUUAAAUGAUAAAUGUUUACUAAAAACGAAUUUUGCUAGGCGAGUGUAUACUUUAUCGCACUCGACCUAAAUGAAAUGGGAAAUUUUCCAUGUUUAAGUGAUUAAAUGUUAGUUGUGCAUGAAUGUAAGCCUUUUGGUUGAACUAGACCCUUACCCUUCAUUGCCGGUCGACUCGAGCCAGAAGCGGACUCGGUCGGGCGAUUUGGUGACCCUAGGUGAAAGUUUGGUAUACUCGAGUAUUACCACGUUAUCGAGUGGAGUUUGGCCAAUGUCCAGAAGGGGGAAGAAUGAAAUGAAUGAACGAGUGACAAUGUCAAUGGAGGGGUUUUCACUUACAAAAUGCAUUUUAAAAUGAUUGGAGGAAUAAGGAAAUGAAAGGUGAAUGAAAGAAUGAAAGGCUCCAUGUGAGCAUGUAUCCUUUUAAUGAAUGUGUUAGCGUUGCUUUAUAUUGUAAAUGUUUCCUGGAUUACUUGUUAUUAAAUGAUUAAUGUCCUUUUUUAAGUUAGUUAUGUGUCUGGAACCUCACUGAGUUUUUAGCUUAUUCCGUUAGUUUUAUUUUCCUUCACAGGGGAUGCGAGCAAGGACGAGAGAUCUGUAUAGACUAGCCUAGACUAGUUCUUUUGAAUUUUUGUAAUGGUUCUCGCCCUAGCGCUUGGCAAGGGUUGGAUGUAUGAAAAAUUGAAAACCUUUGUAUAUUUGAGUUGUAUUCCUUUUGAGAUAGAAAUGUAUAUAAGUAUAAGUUUUAAGUUUGGAAUUAUUGUUACACUUGUUCUUGUGGUCUUAUUUUCAUUUUUACUUGAGGUGUAUGUUUGAGUCCCGGUAAGAGUUGAGCAGGUGGUCUGCUGAACCCUUUGGUUCGUCUUAGGGAAAGGUGGGGCUGUCACAGAUGGUAUCAGAGCUCCUAUCGAGCUCGUGCGGGGAGAUGGUUCUCGGACUGUAGGGAUUGGCUUGUUAAGUAUGGAACAAAUGCCUAUUGUUGGGGAUCUUAGAUAUGUAUGUUGGAUAGGAAUCUCAAAAGUGGUUGAUUUCCUCUUGAGCAUAGCUAACUCGAGUGGGGAAAUGAUCAUAUUUUCGGAUUCUUGUACCCGAAUACCAAAGAGUGAUGCCUUUAUGAUAAGUCGAUAUCUCGAGUAAUGUGAGAGUAAGUUUGAAUGGCGAAAGCCAAGGCACGGGGAAUGCGAAUAGUCUGGAUUUAGAAUAUAUUGAAGAUAGGGAAAAUUAUAAUUUUAGUCCCCAAUGUAUUACCCAUGCACGGAACUGGCCCUCAAUCUAUUUCAAAAAGUAAAUUUGGUCCCUAAUCUAUCCAAUUUUGCAUAAAAGUUGACAAUUGACAGAUUCCUGCCAGUUGAGUAACGGAAUGUGGCGCGUGCACUCACUGUACCAGCAGGUGCAAGUGGUUUCAAUGUUUGUAAAGCAAGAAACUAUUUAAAAAUUCAAAAUCUAUCAUCUCUUUUUCUCUUCUUUUCAUUUUUUCACAUCUCUGUUCUUUUCUAUCCUUGGACAAAAUGCGAACGAUUUUCCAGUAAGCCUUGAAAUGGGGUUGGUCAUUUGACUGGUUUGAAGCUAAUCUGAAGAACUGAAGACAGGCGGAGGGGUUGAGCUUCAAUUUUUGGAGGACAGCGUCGACAAGUUCGUGGGAGAAUUGGAAAGAAAGGUUCUUGAGGUCUGAAUAGCGUUAGAGAACUAAAAGGCUGCAAACCUGACUGGUGAGUUCGGGCAUUGUCAAGUUGGAGGGUUCUACCCCGAAAGCCCAUUUCAGGAGGGUCGCAGAAUAGUGAAAAGAGCGACGGCGGCAGAGGGGAAGAUGAGAAAAUAAUCUGCAAGAAAUUUGAGCAGUGGCCUGAGUGAGCACCAUUGGCAUAAAACCAUCAGAAUUUUUAGCAGAAACUGAGAGAAAGAAAUACUUGGAGUUGGUCUGAGUGAGCAGCUUAGCUGGCAGCACCGAUUGAAAAAUAAAAGAGACCACCGAGUGGAUUGUUUACCUUUUGAUUCUUAAGUCCUAUAAGCAGCGAGAUAAAUGAAUUUAGGAGGAGAAAAUAGCUGCCAAUUAUUAGCUAAGUGCAAGCGGUGGGUAAAUGGAGAAAUAGAAACUGAUAUAUUAAUUGAGCAGUGGCCGAGUGAAGAAGCACGCAUCAACUCUUUUCUUACCAACUAAACACUAAGAGCAAAACUGAAAGAGAGACUCAGCCACACCCUUUCAUCUUAAAACACAACCGAGUGAGAGGAAAAGAGAACAUUCUGGUUUCUCCUUGCUUCCAGCCCGCAGCCGAGAGAGUGAGGAAGAGAAAGAUAGACAUUUGCUCGCUUCAUUGCUCCAGCUUGUAACCUCAAAACCGUGCCGAAGCAGGAAACUAAAAGUGCAGUCUGCAAUUUUCCAAACUCUAAAAGGAAAGAAAAAGGUAAAAUGACUGCAAUAAUUUUUUUUAUCAACUGAAGCCCUUGAGUACGUAUAUAGUAUGCUAGAUUCUAGUCAAGGAAAGUAAGUUUGGUUGCGAGAAAUCCUGCUUAGAACUGGUAGCUUGUUAAAAGCAAAUUCUGCUCUUUAGCUAAGAAACAGGUAUGGAUUGUGCAGGUGCUAUCAAAGGAGGAUGGAAACAAAUAGCUAGGAAUGUAUGAAUAUAUUCACUUUAAGUAGUAAAAGCAGGUUACCGUAAUAACUUGCAAGAAUCUGAACAUGUGCAUGAAAGAAAUCUGGUGCAGGUUGCUUUGCAUAAGAUUUUCCAGCCUUGCACCGGUAUGGGAUUUGAUUAAGUUUCCUCUUGGAAUCUGGUCAUAAACUUCCGUGUUUAGCUUAGGAUAAUCUGUAGUUGAAUAGGUAUCCUUUGCAGGAUCAGCUAGGACAUAAAACAGAAACGGAACUAAUGAGAAAAUAUCAAAUGAAAAGGCUGCUACUGCUACUGGAAAUUAAUGUUGCAGCCGAGAGAAAGAAUUAGGAACCAUUGCAGGUUCUUCAAGAAAUCUGAUUCCAAACCUUUGUAUUGAAGUGUAACUCAGUGUAUAACAUAUUAGUUCCAGCAUGUAUGUUAUAUUAGAAGGGAGAAUUGAAACCACUUGCACGUUCUAGUACAGUGAGUACACGCGCCACAUUCCGUUACUCAACUGAAAGGAAUCUGUCAAUUGUCCAAUUUUACGCAAAAUUGAAAAGAUUAGGGACUAAAUUUACUUUUUGAAAUAGAUUGAGGACUAGUUUCGUGCGUGGGUAAUACAUUGGGGACUAACACUACAAUUCUCCCUUGAAGAUAUUAGUCAGAUUGGGGACCCUGAUUAUUCACGCGUACGUACUUGGUUGUACUUCGUCAAGUUUUGAUUAAGUAUAGUGCCUGAACAAUACCUAGGGUUAAUGUCCUGUAGGAUGUGUGAAUUGCUAUGAUAUGUAUAUAAAGAAAGUAUGUUACUUUCAAUUUGUUUUAUUAAUUUUCAUUUUACGAUUUGAAAAUGCUUUUAUUGAACCUUAUAGCUAUUUUAUUUUGCUUAUACUUAUUUAUGACUAAAUAUAUGAAUUUACGAAUAAAUGUAUGAAUUUCGAGGACAAAAUUCUUUUAAGGAGGGGAGAUUGUGAUACCCCGACUUUUAGGAUAUUACAAUUUCUAUAUAUAUUUUUUUGUUUUAAGACAUUAUUUUGUUAUAAAGAUUAGAAACCCUACUUGUACUUAAAACCCUAGUUUUACUUGUGACUAAUAGGUUUGCUUAAAUCUCUCAUAUUUUAGUCGAAAACCUAAUUUUAAUCUAUGAAAUUGUAAAAUCCAUCAUAUUUGUCUAAAUCUAUUAUCUUAUAAUAGCUUUACUACUCAUUUACCCCCUUAAGAAUUGCAAUUCACCCUAGAAUCAAGGAUUUUUCAUUUCGGUUCAUAGUUCGCGUAAAUUCAAGUUUUUACGUAUUUUGGUAAUGUAAUUAAUCGGUAUAGACUGUGUAUAAAUUUAGUGAUUAAAGAGUGAGUUUUAAAUGAUAUUAAGUGUGUGAUUAGAAGUGAUAAAAAUAAGUUAGUGAAUUAUAAGUGAAAAAUUCUAGUACGUGCGAGUUAAGGAAAACGGUGAGAACCCGAUAUUUUCUUGUUUUCUAGCCCUUAUUUUAAUUCUGUGCAUACAUUUUCUAUACUUUCCUUUAUUAUAUUAAUUUUUUAGCUAUUGUUAUAAGAGAAUUAAGUUCUAAGACAUUUUUCUAGUAUAAGUUAGUUCAUGUGACGUUAGUAGUGCAUAUUGGGCGUGGGAACUGCUAAUGCGGUUAGUGCGGUAAAAUUUUAACGACUAGAAGGAGUUUUGUGCAAAAGAAAUUAUGUGACAAAAGUUGUUAAGAGAUGAUUGGAGAAGUAAUAGAUAUUUGAGUGCUUAAGAGAGACAAUUAGACAGACUUCCCUUGGAUUUGUGCCACUUGUCAAGCACCAAGCCAAUCUUGACCAAGACCAUGACCAAGAUUAAGUUUAAAACUUAUCCAACUCAAGUCAAUCACCAUUUUCUUCCUUUGCCUUCUAUGAUGGACGAAAUUUGGGAGGAGAAGAAGAGAAAAAUACUCCAUUUUCAGCCUUGAUCUCUUGCUUGAAUCAUGGAAGAAAAAAAACCAAGAUCAACCCUAAUCCACUCCAAUCAACCUUGAGAUAGUCUAGAGGGGAAGCUCUUGGAGAAGUUUUGGAGAAAGACACCCUUGAGUACUUCUUGCUUGGCUGUCCGUCUAAGUUUUGGAGGUAAAGAGGAGAACUUUGCUAGAAAUCCUCCCUUAUCUUUGAGUUUCUUUGAUAGAUGAUGUUAUAGAAGCUAAAGGAAGGAUUUGUAUGGUAGCUUUCAUGAUUUUCAGGUUGUGUUGUGCUUUUCCCAGCAUUGUUUUGUGGAAUUUAGGAGGUAAAAUUGAUAGCCACCUUAUCUUUUUCACUUGUCUUUGUAUCUACUUGAUGGAUGAUAUUUUAUAAGGAAAAAGGCAUGACUUUUAUGAUACCUAUCAUGGUAUUGUUAGGUUUGAUGAAAUUUUCAGCUUUGAUGAUGAAAUGCUCUGUUUUGACUAGUUCUAUUCGUGUAUGAUGGAGGCCGAAUUAGGCUUAGGCUAAAACAUGAAAGUUGUAUAAAAUGAUUUUUUAUAUCUUCCUGUAAAAUUUCAGCUCAAUCCGAGCACAGUAGCAUGUGAAAAGACAAAAUUACCCUUGACUGCCAUAGGUAGAGCUCUGAGGAUAGUUUUGACAUUUCUUGCUGCAUUUUUUCACCUUGAUCCGUAGUGAAUUAGCAUUUGGCCAAAGCACAAAAGUUGUAAUGCUAUUUUUUAGUUUCCAACACACCUGAAAAUGUCUCAAUCGGACUUUUGUAGCCAGAGUUAUUGUCAUUUGAACACAGUGCUGUUAACUAGCCUGAUGUUGAAAUUCUGGUUCAUUAAUUUGUAAAUUUAACCUAGAUACAUUAUGAACUAGGUUGAGUUGUCUUCAUUGUCAUUGAAGUUGUAGCCCUUUGUCUUAACUUCAAAAAAGUAUAAAUUUUACCCCAAUCCGAUAGGUGUAGCUUCGGUUGUGACCAAUACGCUAAAAGACGUCAAACCUGUCAUUUUGUUCUCUGUCUUAAACCUUAUUUCCGAUCACUUUGCUAGCUUGGUUUUGUAAUUGAAUGACUUUUAGCCUAUUGAACGGCUAUUGUAAUGAGAUUAUUUGUGUGUGAUUUUGGGGGCUGAUUGAGGAAAAUAAUGAAGCCGUAAAGGGCCGGAAAAUAGGUAAAUGCAAAGGGCGUGCUGCCUAAAGUUGCACUCGAGGGUUAGGUAAAUGUACUCGCGACUUGAGUAAGAGUUGAGGAUGAAACUAACUUGAAUCAUCUAAGGUAUUCAAAUCUUCUUUAUUAGAGGUAUAUAAGCUGAAAUUUGGCCGAAACUUGUACCCUUGGAAAAAUGAAAGUUACGACUAAUAGAAAUACGUUUUCUUCGUUUCUUCGACUCCAAUGGAGAUUUCAAAGUUUUACGAGCGAGCAUAAGUUUUACAAAAAUUUUACUCGUGUCCUUUGGUUUAAAUGUAUUCUUUUCACUUCCAAAACUUUACUUAUACUUUGUACUAGUAGUUGUUCGGAUUUUCUUUGGUUCACCUAAACUUUGGAUGGUUUAGCUGCAAUAUUUUCUCUUGAUUAAUCUUAGGGUUUAUUGGUGAUUGAGGGUAAUACCUGGAAGACUACUUUGGACGUUCUUUUGCGUAAAUAGGUGAGUGUUCUUUGUUUGUUAUGUUUCCAUUAACUAUAUGAUUUGUUGUGGAUAUUUGAUUAAAUGAUAAAUGUUUACUAAAAAAGAAUUUUGCUAUGCCAGUGUGUACUUUAUCGCACUCGACCUAAAUGAAAUGGGAAAUUUUCAAUGUUUAAGUGAUUAAAUGUUAGUUGUGCAUGAAUAUAAGCCUUUUGGCUGAACUGGGUCCUUGCCCUUCGUUGCCAGUCGACUCGAGCCAGAAGCAGACUUGGUCGGUUGAUUUGGUGACCCUGGGUGAAAGUUUGGUAUACUCGAGUAUUACCACGUUGUCGGAUGGAAUCAGGCCAAUGUCCAGAAGGGGGAAGAAUGAAAUGAAUGAACGAGUGACAAUGUCAAUGGAGGGGUUUUCACUUACAAAAUGCAUUUUAAAAUGAUUGGAGGAAUAAGGAAAUGAAAGGUGAAUGAAAGAACGAAAGGCUCCAUGUGAACAUGUAUCCUUUUAAUGAAUGUGUUAGCAUUGCUUUAUAUUGUAAAUGUUUCCUGGAUUACUUGUUAUUAAAUGAUUAAUGUCCUUGUUUAAGUUAGUUAUGUGUCUGGAACCUCACUGAGAUUUUAACUCAUUUCGUUAAUUUUGUUUUUGUUAACAGGGGAUGCGAGCAAGGACGAGAGAUCUGUAUAGACUUGCCUAGACUAGUUCUUUUGAAUUUUUGUAAUGGUUCUCGCUCUAGCGCUUGGCAAGGGUUGGAUGUAUGAAAAAUUGAGAACCUUUGUAUAUUUGAGUUGUAUUCCUUUUGAGAUAGAAAUGUAUAUAAGUAUAUGUUUUAAGUUUGGAAUUAUUGUUACACUUGUUCUUGUGGUCUUAUUUUCAUUUUUACUUGAGGUGUAUGUUUGAGUCCUGGCAAGAGCUGGGCAGGCGGUUUGCCGAACCCUUUGGUUCGCCUUAGGGAAAGGUGAGGCUGUCACGUUGACCCCUAAUUAUCUCUAUACUAAAUACACGAUCCAUGUACUUGCGAAAAAUUAGGGUAUAAAGAAAAAAAUUGAUUGAUAAUUGGGAGAAUUUAACUUGAAAGCCUAGGCUAUAUCAAGUUUUUGGCACCAUUACCGGGAACUUCAAAUAAUAUUAGGGCAAAAACAAACUUUAUUAAUCUAAACUUGUUUUUGUUUUUAAUUUUCCUUGUAUUAACGGUGCCAAUUUACAAGUUUAUAUUAAGUAGUAGAAUUUGUGCUAACUCUUCUUAACUUUGGUGUUUUGUAGUGCAUGCACCAAUUCCUCUAUACACAUACUACCCUUUGAUCCCAAAAUCGGGAAAAUGGCAAAUAGGAGAAGGCUUUCGGCAUGACAACAAGCUCAACAAACUCAACAACAAGAAGUGGAGAGUGAAGGUGAAAUUAUCAUUGAAUUGCCUCACUUAGAUGAAAUGGCAGAGGAAUGUGCAAAUCACAACCAACAAAUCUUGAGAGAUUUUGCUUUGCCAUCUACGGAAAGAUCUCAAACAAGUAUUGCACAACCGGCAGUCAAUACAAAUGACUUUAAGAUUAAGCUGGUAUUUAUUUGAAUGCUCCAACAAGAACAAUUUGGAAACAAUACAAUGGAGGAUCCAAAUACUCACUUAGCUAAUUUCUUAGAGAUUUGUGACACAAUCAAGUUUAAUGGAGUGAGUGACGAUACUAUAAAGCACCAAUUGUUUCCUUUCUCUUUAAGAGAUAAGGCUAAGGUAUGGCUUAAUUCACAUGCACCAAACACUUUCACUACUUGGGCCAAUUUAUCUAAGACUUUCUUGAAUAAGUAUUUUGCACCGUGUAAAACUGCCAAACUAAGUAUGGAUAUAACGGGUUUUGUUCAACAAGAAUGUGAAUCAUUAUAUGAGGCAUGAAAGAGGCUUAAGGAGUUGCAAAGCAAAUGUUCUCAUCAUGGACUUCCUAAUUGGUUAAUUGCGCAAACAUUCUCUAAUGGUUUAACGUAUCCUAUCCAGACUCAUAUUGAUGCAGCUGUAGGAGGAGAACUUAUGGGAAAAUUAGUGGAUGAAACUUAACAAUUGAUAGAAGAAAUGGCAGCCAAUAAUUACCAAUGGACUAAUAAGAAAGGUAAUACUAGAAGACACACUAGUAUGUAUGAAUUGGACGCAUUUAACAUGCUUAAUGCAAAAACGAACAACAUGGUAAAAAUGCUAAAUAGUCAAGGUGAAGUUGGUUGUAGUUCUCAUGCUAGUGCAGCAUGUUGUACCCUUUGCAAAGAUAAUCAUAAUGAUACUAAUUGUGUGAAUUAUGAGCAGGUAAAAUAUGUGAAUUAUUUCAACUGUUCCACUCAAAACAAUCCUUACUCCAAUGCUUACAACUAAUGGUGGAGGAAUCAUUCAAAUUUCAGGUGGAGAGAACAAGGGAACCAACAAAGGCCAACCAAUCCACCGGCUUCCAACCAAAGCCAUCACCCCUUGAGUCUAAACCUUCAUGGGAGUUUGUCAUUGAGAGACUAGCCACUACCACCAAUAGCAAAUAUUGAGAGACUAGCCACUACCGCCUCGGAGAGAUUUGGUAGAAUAGAAGGGAGAAUGGACCAAUUAACCACUAUGCAUAGGAAUAUAGAAGCCCAACUUGGGCAAAUUUUCAAUGCCGUUAACCCUAGAAACCAAGGAGACUUACCAAGUAAAAACGAAGUCAAUCUUAGGGAACAUUGCAAGCAAUCACAGUCCGAAGUGGUAGGCAAUUGGAUGGCCCUUCUAGAGUUGAGCAUAAGAAAGAAGAAAGAAGAGAAGAAAAUGAGAGUUUGAGUGAUGACCAUGGGAUAAGUGUUGGGGAAAAGGGUAAAGAGAAAGUUGUAGAAGAAGAAACACCUUCCAAAUCUAAAGUGCUUAUACCCACCAUACCAUUUGCUCAAAGGCUCAAGCAAAAUAAAUUGGAAAAGGAUAUUGAAAAGUUUGUUAAAAUAUUUAAACAAUUGAAUAUUAACACUCUUUAUAUAGAUGCCAAUGAUCAAAUUCCAUCCUAUGCCAAGUUUGUUAAGGAGAUCAAGUCAAAAAAGAGAAAGUUGGAGGACAAUGAGGCCGCAACUUUAACGGAGGACUAUAGUGCAUAGAUACUAAAUAAGCUCCUGUCAAAAUUGAAGGAAUGUAAGGUAUCAUCUUGGUAUUCUAGAGAAUGUGCUCAUUAAGGUCAAGAGUUUUAUAUUCCAAUUGCCUUUUUUGUUUUUGAUAUGGAAGAGGAUGUUAAACAUGCCAAUUAUAUUUGGUAGACCUUUCUUAUCUAUGGCCGGUACUAUAAUUGAUGUUAAAAAGGGCAAGCUUAAGUUCCAAGUAGGUGAAAAAGAAAUUGAGGUUGACUUGAAUGAACUUCAAAACUUUCCUUUAUUUACUAACUGUGUAUGCAAUUGAUGUGGUUGAAAAUCUAACUCAAGAUGUUAUUCAGAUGAAACAUGAUGCUCACCCUCUUGAAAAUUGUUUGUUUGAUGCUAUUUUUCAAGAAGAUGAUGAUUUGGAGAUAUUACAAAUGGCCAACCUUUUGAACUCUCAAAUGCCUUAUAAAAGAGGAAAUCAUUAUGAGAGUUUAGUAAAAGAAAAAGAACUGCCACUGCCAUCGAGCAAGCUCCAACUCUUGAAUUUAAGCCAUUUUUCGAUCAGCUAAGGUACGCAUUUCUUGGCGAAAAUGAUACAAUACUGGUGAUUAUUAAUGCUUUUCUGAAUGAUGUACAGUUGGAGAAGUUACUAGGAGUUUUAAGGAAGCACAAACUAGCAAUUGGAUGGACCAUUUCCAAUCUUAAGAGCACCAGUCCAACCCUUUGCAUGCAUAAGAUUCUUUUGGAAAUGAAUGCCAAAUCCGUGGUAGAAACUUGACAGGUGUCGAACCUGUGCAAUAAUAAAUUCCUACUUACAAAAAUAUAUAAACCAAUAUAAUGAUAAGUAGAGUCAUCUCUGCAGGGAUUUGAUGAUUUAUUUCCUUCCAAGGAAGAAUUAAAUGGGGGUUUUGGAAAAUUAAAAUGAAAAAAUCAUUUUAAGUAAAAGCAAUCAAAUAAAAGAAAAUUUAAAUUAAUUUGAUAAUAAACAAGCUCUAGUCAAGAAGAAAACUCCGGAAGUGAUUCAUAUAACUGCUUAUUGAUGCAAUAAUUACUUCAUCUAUUUGUUAACAAACAGACUAUAAUUACCAAACAAACGAUGACAAUCAAUGCUUUCAUACAGUGUCCAUAGUCAAGGUACGCCCAUUAACUAUUUUUUUAAUCAAGAAAUAACCCUAAAUAUGCCUAUAAAAUUUAAUUUCUUGAUUGCAUUAAAAAUUAGAAAAGUCCUAUUCUAAUCAAUAAACAUGCUAUCAGGGUUUAUUUAAAUUAGAUCAUAUGUUCCCUAACAUGAAACUAAUCAUGUUAGUUACCACUAAUUUAAGAUAAUUAAAUAAUUAUGGAUUUAAAUUUUCUUAAUUGGCAUUAGAUUGUUAGGUUGAUUGGGCUCUUGAUAUUCAAACAACAAAACAACUAUAAGAAGUUAAAUCAGAAAACAUAACGAAUAAGAGAAACAAGUAAAAACAAUUUGAUCUCACAGUUGUACUUGAAUCAAAUUCUUAGUUACCCCUUGACUAGAAUAAGAAAUCUAGUUGCUCUUCAUUUAGAAAAUCCAAGCAAAAAUAUAUGAAUUCUGCCAAAGUCAUAUGCCAAGAAGUGAGAAGCAAAAGUCAUUGCUAUUUGUUGGAGAAAAAGAAUCUUCCCAAAAGGCAGACUCUAUCUCCUAUUUCGUUGCUACUUAUCAAUUGCUCAAAAAGGAAAAUUAGAAUCCUACUCCUUAUAAGAAAAGAGUAUCUUUCCUAACUAGUCGUUGAUACAGUAGAAUUUGCACCCCUAUGCCAAAAUACAAUUAGAAGUCAACUUGGAAUAGGAAACUUCUUUAACCGCUGGAAUCCCAUGUGUCUGGACUAGGUGCUUGACUCAAGCACACCCACACUGAACUGGUCAAGAGUCUUUUGCUAGAAAUUUUCUUUGUGACACCCUUUUUGCUCUUUUUCUUGCCAUAUCCCUACAAUCAACAUCAAUUGUCAAAAAUAAGUAGAAUCAAUCGAAUGAUGCAAUAUUUUGCGAAAAUCACAAGCAAAUUUUCGUAAAUUUGAUAACUAAUAUGCACCCUAGGCGCUUUCUGGCAAGACCUUUGGAUAAAAUAUGUUGCAAACCUUGAAUAAUUUUCUAAUUUUACCAAUUUUUCCUAUUUCCUAUAAUAAGCUUCAUCACUGUCAUCCAAUAAAGGAAAUACUAUCCGUUAUAAAUAAACUAAUAAUUCACUUCCUAAUGUUGGACAGUGCUCUUGUUCUCUAUAAUUUGAAUAUGCACCAAGCUAGGAAGUAAUGAAUUUUCUUGUAUGUGAUGUGAAAGAAACAGGAGUUACCUGCCCAACAAAAAUCUAACCAUAUUUCAGGAUCUAUUCCUCCACUUACUUCUGUCAAUAAAAGAUAUAAGGAGCUCUAAAUGCCAUAUGUUAAAAAUUAGACAACUGUUCUUCUACCAAAUUAAUUUCUAUUGUAUUAAUCAUUCAAGGAUUUCCAUUUGGGACAUUCAUUCCUUCUUUUAUGCAAUCUAGCAAUUUGACCAUUUCUAGUGUAUUCAACACCACCAAAUCUUGCGAGCAUGAUGAUCAGUCACUUUAUGCUACAAGAAAUAAUUAUUUGGAUAGAGUAUUAUUUGAAAUAUUAUUUGGAAUAGUUACUGUAGAAUUUUUUAUGAUGUGAUGUAUGUGAGAUAAAAAGUAGUUGAGAAUAUAAAAAGGUGAAUUGGGAAAUGCGUUUAAGAUGCAAGCGAAAUAUUAUUUGAGAUAAUUUGCAAUCCAAACACACUCAUUAUCCUUAUUAACUUCCUUCCUAAGAUGUCGCAUCUUGACUUUUGAUAACUGCUGAUCAUGAGGAUUGUUGGUAGACAUCUUCACAUCUAUACAACAAAAAAGAUUAAAUAAUUGAAAGUUGUAAAAUGAAAAAAUCACAUCACACAGGAUGGAAGAAUAUUACUUUGAGAACCAAAAAUAUUAUUUUGAAAACCAUGAUGGAGUGUGUCCUUUUGCCAUCAACCAAAAUUGAACCUCUCCUCUUCCGAUUCACCAGUAUUGGACGAGCCAUCUCGCUCCUGAUCAUCAUGGAAUGUCUCCCAUUGACAUUAAGUAGUGUCCAUGCCGUCAUGCUAAGCAUGAGCAUGGAACAGCUGCUUUUCUUGCCAAUCACCACUAAAUGCCUCCUCAUACAUGCCCUCUCGCUGCUAAUCAUCACGAAAUGUCUCCUUGGCACCUGACACGCUGUCAUGCUAACUAUGAGCAUGGAACAACUGCUCUUCUUGCGAUCACCGCUAAAUGCCUCCUCAUACGUGCCAUCUCAUUGUUGAUCAUCACAGAAUGUCUCCUCCGCACCUGACAUGUUGUCAUGCUACAUCCCCACUCCUUUCUGUCAGACCCCGAAAUUUUACUUGUCUUUAUAUCUCUUAUUUGAACUUAGUUGCCUUAGAUUCUUGGUUAUUUUAAUGGUUAAAUUUGAGUCAAAUGAGUGAAUUUUGUUAAGAAAAGUUUCAUAAUCUCAAGUUGUUAGAAAAUCUAGAAAUUUUCGCAGGAGGCUUUGCGCAGCUUUAGAAAAUUGGCUAUAACUUCGUAUAGGAAAGUCGGAAUUAAAUUUUGUUUAUUGCAUUUGAAACUAGACUCAUAGGCUACAGUGGAAAAUUUAGAGUUUGAUUCAACCUCUAUAAAUUCCAAAAUAUUGGCAAAAUUGACUAAAAAUUCUACCCUGCACAAGUAAACAUAGGAAUGUUGUAGUGGCUUAUGCCUCAAUUUGGACUAACUUAUGAGCUGAAUUUCUUUAAGGUGUCUUCUAAAAAUUAUUAGUGUUUUAAGUCUAGUUCUUAACAGGUCAAGUUGUUUGAAUGUUUGAUAUUUAUAACUCAAGUUAUGCUUUUUCUACAGGAAGGGCAUAAGUUAGGGUUUUUUUGUGCAUACUAGGGUUUUUGGUGGUGUGAUUACUUGGUGAGGUAUGUGUACUAAAUUUGGUGGUUAAGAGUGAAUUUUAGAUAAGUGAAAAUGUGUGAUUAUAAGUGCUAAUAAUAAGUUAGUGAAUCAUAAGUGAAAACACUAGUACACGCGAGUUAAGGAAAAUAGGCUUGAACUGACAUGCACCAUUUGCUACCGAUUGAGUGCACCACUUAAGCACUACUUUAUUACUUUGAUUUCUUUGUUAUUAAUUGAGCAAAAUCAGCCCUAAAUAUCUCCUUCUACUAGCCGAAAUUUUGGACUAAAAACAAGAGAGAAAAGAAAAAAUUUGACCUCAAAUCGAAGUGUGACACUUGUUGGAAAUUUAGUAAACUUUGACUAAACAAAUUUCCUACCUUCUUAUCUUUCUUUUUGGCUCAAUUUCUUUCAUUUUUGCUUCAUGUUCGCUGAAACUAAAAGAGGGAAAAAGAGAGAAAACAACUUCAACUCCAACCUUGAUUCUUUCUUGUUGAGUUGAAAUCUCAAAAACUAAACUGAUUAAACUUACCUUUUGGUGUUUGGAAAGUUUGGUGUGGUGAAAUUUUUGGAAGAGAGUGGUUUUGUUUUCACUUGCAAGCAGCUUUUGGAAGGUAUAAGGCUUGAUUUUCCUUUUUUCUUGCUUAAUCUUGUUAAAUUUGGGAUAGAAGCUUAUAUUCUUGGUUUGCUAUGGUUACUUGUUUAGUUUUGAUGGAGUAGUGGCAUGUUUAGCUAGGGUUUGCAUCUUUUCAGUUUUGAUUGGUGUUGUUUAACUAGUAAAUGAUGUUAUUGAGGUUGUAAAUGGAACUUGUGAAGUGAUUUUGGGCUUGAGUGUAACUUUGUUAGAGUAAAAGUUGAAUUCCAACAUUUGGUAGAGAUUCUGCCCUGUUUUUGGAACCAAUUUGACCUGCAUAUUCGUCCAUGAUAAAGGCUAAAUCAGUUCUUGCUCAAAAUAUGAAAGUUGUAGGGAAUUGAGUUAACUAUCUACCUACAAAAUUUCAACUCAAUCGGAUCACUGUAUCUUGCAGCCCAAAUGCCCUGUUUCACAGGCAGUUUUUUGUUUUCUCCGAGAUUUCAAUUUUUACCCUGGAAAUGCGAGAAAUGGGUGUUGAUGUCUUCAUAGAAAAUGUAGGCCUAUGUCUUAGCUUCAAAAUGCCAUAAAAUUUGCCCCAAUCCGAUAAGUGUAGCUUCAGUUGUAACCAAAACGCCGAAAGAUGACAAAUCUGCCACUUAGACAUUCUUCUUUAAUACUAGUUUCCAGUUUUGGUCUUGGUGGUUUCAUUGCUAGAAUUGACUUGAAUUUGGAUGAUAUUGAGCCUAAUUGAAGAGCUAUUGUGUUAAGAUUGGUUAUGUGUUGAAUAUGGGCUGAGUUGAGGAAAAUAAUGAAGUCAUAAAUAACUGGAAAAUAGCUAAAUACAAAGGACGUGCUGCCCAAAUUUUCACUCGAGAGUUAGGCAUAUGUACUCGCGACUUGAGCAAUGAUUUGAGGUCGAAUUGGACUUGGAUUGUCUAGGGUAUUCAUUUUUUCUUUCGUAGAGGUAUAUAAGCUAAACAUUUUGCUGAAACUCGUACCUUUUAAAAAGUGAAAAUAGCGACACUUAAACAUACGAUUUUCUCGAUUUUUCAUACCAAGUGUGACUUCCAAAGUAUGAAUCACUUCUUUAUCGAAUCUAAAAGAGCGAGCAUGAAUUUUUGAGAGUUUGAGAAGUCAUAUGACUACUACUUAAACAAGUUUCAUUUACUUGAUUUUCUUGAAGCGAAACUCCUAUGUUUCAAACCCUAGUUGAUUUCAAACUCUUAAAUGAUGUUUUAUCGCAGAUUUAGACUCCAAUCAAGGAGUUGUACCUGAACGUGAGUUUGACAAACACUAAAUCUUUGGUGAGUGCUUCCAAGUACAUAAUUGAACAUAAUACUUGAUUUAAAUACUUGAUAUUUGAUUGGUUUGGUCGGGCAAUGUGAUGACCCGAAAUUUUUUCUUAUUUUAUAAUUAUUUUUGUUCAUUUUUUUCAUGCAUUUUCGUACUUUACUUUAUUACCUUAAUUUCCUAGAUGUUUUUAUAAGUGAAUAUAGUUUUUAAAAUCAUUUUCUUGGUACAAGUUAGUUCAUGUUCAGUUUAAAGUGUAAUAUGGACGUGGGACCCACUAGUGCGAUAAGUGCGAUAUAUUUUUGACGACUAGGUGAAUUUUUCAUAAAGGGAUAUUAUUUUACAAGCUAUUAGGAGAUAAUUAGAGGCUAGCUAGAUAGAUUAACCAUUGGAAGUGAAGAAGAUGAGAUUAAACCUCAAAAGGCCAUGUGUCAUGAAACUAGUUGAAGAUGGACUUUGACCAAGGAUUCUUAACUUUCCUAAACUCCAAUUUUGACCAAAAUUCCUUCACUUUCUUGUCUUCCUUGGCCGAACUCCUUGAGGGAAAGAAAGGGAGAGAACUUCAUCUUGUUCUUCAAUUUCUUGCUCUAAUCUUGAGUUUCAACCGUUAGUUUUGCAAACUAGUCUAUAAAAGUGGAUCUCUAAGGAAACUUAAGGGUUUUUGUGGAGUGAUUCGGGAAGAUAAUGUUGUUGGUAGCCUCUUUGCAUAAGGUUUAAGGUAUUUAUGGCAAGAAACUCUCUCUACUUCAAGUAAUUGUAAAAUUAGUGGCUUAUGGCUGUAACUUUGGUAGUUUUAUGCAAUAUUUCAUGAUUGGAAAUGGUGUUAUGGAAAUUUUCAGUUUUAUGGUGAAUUUUCUACCCUCAUAUGAUGUUUAAUGAUUGGUUAUGAUUUGAUAGGUUUGCCAUGUGAAAAAUUGAAGUUUUAUAGGCUAGUUUAACUUGCCUAAAGAAAUUUUCAACUUGUAUAUACAAAUUUCAGUUUAGGGUUUCCAAUUUUCAGCUUUGUUGUGGUUGGUGUUUGAGCUAUAUAUGUGCUAUAUUUGGAUGGUAUUGUGGCCUUAAAAAAGUGUAUAGAUGGCCAAUGACUUGUGGUUGUGAUUGAGGUUAAAUUGGGAGGAAAUUGGGUGAAUGAUUGUAGGAUGGAAAAGUAAAGAAAACAAGGGGAAGUGCUGUUGAAAUUUUCCGCAGGAACUCCUGUGCAGCCUCGGGAAAUCUGUUAUAACUUGAUAUAGAAAAGACAAAAUCAAGUUCCGUUUGUUGUGUUUGAACCUAUAUCAGAGUAAUAUCAACCAUGAAAAUUUCAGCCUUUUCCUCAAUUCUUAUGAAUAUCUAUGAUUUUUCAAAUUUGACAGGAAUUGCAUACCUGUUCUGUCUCUUACUGGAUGAAGCAGCAAAUUAAGGCUCGAAUUUGACUCACUUGUAGUCAGAAUCUUACAAAUAUGUCUGCUGAGAAAUUGUAACCCUUUGAGUCUAUUUUCCGACGGUAUAAAUUUUAUCAAUUUUGGACUUAAGAAUCGUAAGAUAUGAUUUUUCAAAUAGUGUUGUGCAAAGCUGAGAGAUUCCAUUCUUUUAGAACCACUUAUACUUUCAUUUCCCACUUUAAGUUCGGAGUUGGUCAAUCAUUUUGGGUAUGGUUUAUGAGUGGAAGUGAGGUUUAAAUGAGAGGACGUGAAAUCUUAGAAACAUUAAUUUCUUCAUGCAUUUGGUUUUGUAUUGCUAGCCUUGUAAUAUGAUAUGUGACCACAGGACUCGAGUGAGUUCAAGAGGACGAACCAGCGUUAAAGUGAAGUGUUGCCACUGACUGGUGAGUGUACCACUCCCCUGAUUUGUUGCUUAACUAGUUUAUUUGUAUUUGAAAUCUGUGACUUGAAUGACUGUGAACUCUGUUUAUUUUGAAUGAGAUGAGGGUGUACUUUAUCACACUCGUUCUCUUGUCUGUGUGACUGUUUACUGUAUAAGCCUGAUCUGAUGUCGUUUGGAAGUGUAUCCAACGACCUUGCUGUUAAACUUGAGCUCAACCUCAUGGGGGGUCCAUUGAAUCAAGCCAGCAAGAGACUUGGUCGAGGAAAAUUGACAAGCCAUGGGGGCCUGUUUCUUAGGGAUCUUUGAGUAUUAGAGACUCCUGGUAUACUCGAGUAUUACCAUCCCUGUUCCUGUUGAGGCGUUCGGGUCCGGUAAGGGGUAUAUUUGAUUGACAGAAUUUGGUGUAAAAUGGUGCUCUAUUGAACUGGUUACUUUACUUGAAUGUUGACGGAGUGUCAACUACUACUUGAUCCAACUCUGGUGAAGCAAUGGGAACUUAGCUCCUGAGAGCCACUCGUAUCUUUUCUAUUUGAAUCAUUGUGUUUAAGUGUAGUAUUUGAUAUCUAGUGUGUGUAUUUGACUGAUUAAAAGUGAAGUUCUAUGAUUCUCGACUACGUAUACUUUUGGUACCUCAUUGAGUGUAAACUCACCCAUUUCCCGUUAUCUUUGUUUUCUUUACAGGGUCCAAAUUUUGGGAACUGUGACUUUGAAGAUAAGAGUUGAGCUAGUUGUAGACCUUCUUUUGUUUACGCUCCUUUAUAACAAAACCCCUAAUUGUAUUUUGUAUAAGUAGAGAUACUAUGGCUUGUACUUCAAGUUAUUUUGGUGAAGACUCCGAUAUAUAUAUAAAUGUUUAUCCUAUAUAUCCAGUUGAUUUAAUUGAGAUGGUACAUUUCUAUGGUUAUGUGAACUUUUCUUGUAUCUGUUGGAAUAAUCGAGCGAGUGCGGCGUUUGAACGAGAUAAGAAAAUUUCUGGCAGGAAAUCCUACAGGAGAAUCUGGCCAUAUAUUCGGCCAUAUCCUGGUCGGAUACUUGGCCGGAUUGUCAGGGGAAAAUGGAAAGUUUUCGUUUUAGCCACUGCCUUGAAUCGGGCCGGCAAUCCGGCCAAAAGUUGGCCGGAUUCUGACGUGGAACUUAUUCUUUUUGCUUUUCGUUGGUGCAUUUAAUUGAAGUUCUAUUGCAUAGUUUAGUUUAGUCAAUUUUGUUUCUGAUUGUUCGUUUUCUUGCGGUUCUAUCAUGCUAUGUGUGAUUUGACUUUAUAGUUCUGGCGAGAGUUGGGCAGGCUGUGACGGCCCCAUCUCUUCCUAAGGCAAACCAAAGGGGUCGAUAGACCGACUGCCCAGCUCUCGCCAGGACUACGGAAACGAAUCACACAAAACACACCUAACUUACGAGGAAAAAAAUUCAAGAAACGAGCAAUCAAAACUUAUCGAGCCAUUCUCUCCCAAUAAAUAUUACUACGAAUGAAAGUAUAGAGUUUGAGCACUUAAAUCGGUCACGAAAACGAAGAAACGAAAAUUGCCGCCACAGUGCCGGCCACGUCACUAUCCGGCCGGAAUCUGGCUGGAUUGCCGGCCGGAUUCUUGGCCGAAUAGGAGACAGUGGUCAAAACCAAAAGGGAUCAAAACCCCUGUCAAUCCGGCCAGUUUCUGCCGGAUUCAGGCCAGAGGCCAACCUCAAAAAUUUUUUUCUUUCUCCCCUGCAUUUCUGGCCGGAUUCGAUGAACAGUGACUUCACGAAAUUUUUCCUUUUCAUACAACUUCCGAAAUCGACCAAAAUCCGACCAAAGACAAGAAACCAGUAUUCACCUAUGUAAUAGGUACAAACCAAGGAAAUAUAUAUAUACAUCACAUAAACCUGAAAUAACACCCUUUUAUAGUCGUAGUUUUACAAAUACAGAACAAAAGAAAGUGUUUAAUCGAUUCGGUUACAAUUAGGGUUUUCCAAAAACCAAACCCUAAACCCAACGAGGAGCUAUACGAACAAAAGAAUGCCUAGCUAGCUCAACUUGUUUCAAAACAUGAUUCCAAAAGAUGUCCCUGUAAGGAAAACAAAAGUAACGAGGGUGAGCUUACGCUCGUGAGGUACCAACAAGACACAUAAGUAGAAUUAUGCCCCAAUGCACACGACCAAUGAACACAUAAGAUAUUACAUCACGAUAACCAUGGAUAAAAGGAUACAGUCGGCUCUCAAGAGCCGUUUUCCACUUGCCGUACUUGAUCUCAUACCCAUUGACACUCCGUCAACCUUUGAAGAGAGAAACAAGACCGUAGAUUCCACUUUACACCAAAUUCCUUCCACCGAUCACCCCCUUACCGGGCCCUAACACCUCACAGUAACAAAGAGGGUAAUACUCGAGUAUACCAUAAGGUCGAGGAGUUAACACUCCACUCAACUAACAGUGAACCCAAGGUCCGUUAUCGAUUCGCCCAAUCCCUUACCGGCUCGACUUGAAUAACGACCAAUGGUAUAUGAGCUCAGAUAUCACAGUUAAAUUAUCGGGCCUAGUCCACACAAUAUCAAAUCAUGCACAAGUACUAUUUCACAGUUAAACAGUAAUAGUAACAACAAUACAGAUAAGAGAGCGAGAGCGAUAAAGUACACUAUUGUCUCAUUCGACCCAACCAAGUUUGUAUAACAAAUACAAUUAUUCAUUUAAGCCGUAAAACAUGUACGGUACACUCACCGAAUCAAAUAGGCGAGUUUACACGUUCGCUUCAGACGUAGGCCCUAGAUCACCGGUACGACCUAAAACAAGCAAGAAAAGCACAAUUGAGACUCGAAUACGAGUCAAAUCAUUAACAAUGAGCUAUUACUAUAAUAUACCAGAAGUGUAAUGGGGUGACGAUAGUGUGGAACAUGAUAAACCCCAAAAUCCUUCCAUUUCUACUCAAAUCACCCUCAAUUCAAGGUGACUCAAAGUUCUUAACAUUUGGACAGCACUUCCCAAAAAAUCUCACAUUUCCAACCUAAGACUCAUCACCCAAACUAUCACAAGUGCAAAUACAAUUCAUAGGCUCUUCAAUUCACCUCAUUAGGGUCACAAUACCCUCAAAUAUCCAUCAAAUACAAGUAUAAAAACUAACCAUAGCAAAGCCCCAAUUGAAAACCCUAAAACUGAAAUUUUCCACUAAAAGCUGAAAUUUUCUGCAACAAACCACCAUUGAACUAUAGAGGCCCUAUAUUACUCAAAAUAAGGCUGUCAUACCAUGACUAGCUAUAAUAUACUAUAUAAAACAGAAAAAUCCUCAAUAAAUAGAAAAAUUGAACAACUCAACCAUAACCCAUGAAAUAAUCCACAAAAGGGCAUGGUUCACCACUAGAAUCCCUUAAUUGAGCAUUAUUAUCAUGAAAAGGAAGAUAUUUUGGCAACUCACCUUUGCAAUUCCAAGAAACAAGAUAGCUAGGGCUUGUUCUUCACAAAUGACUCUACUAAUCACGUUAGUUUCACUUAACAACUCACUUGUGUGGAGAAAUUUGAAAGAUUAAUGGUUGAUUUCCAAGAUUGAAGCAAGAAAUGAAGGGGAAUUGAAGAAGCUUCCUCUCUUCUUUGUCUCCAAGAUGCACGGCCAAAAGGAAGAAAAUGGAGAUGAUUUUUGGUCAAAAAUUGAUUUAGUAAAGGUGAGGAAAGACUAGUCAAAAGUCCAACCUCCAAUAAGAAUACAACAUGUAGCUUUUCUCAAGUUUAUCUCAUUCCUUUGUCUUCCAAUACUUAAUUAAACUAGCUAACCUCUAAUUAGCUCAUACUACCAUAUAAUAUAAUCACCGUACAUAAAACUUCUCCACAUUCAUCACAUUUACCUCACUUAACACACUAGUAGGUCCCACUUCCACUGUACACCACCAUUAACACAGAAAAUAAUUCAUUUUCAAAAAAUAAUUUACAAAUCAUAUUUUCUCAUUAAAUUCCCAGAAAAUUCACAUAAUAAGGAAAAUAUAGAAAUUGGGCGCAAAAACUAAAAUAAAUGCCUAGAAAAUAAGAAAAAUUUCGGGAUCUCACACUUUCUCCCCCUUAAAGAAUUUCGUUCUCGAAAUUCCUCACCUGAAUCAUUAAACAGCUCAGGGUAUUUCUUUUUCAUCUCCUCCUCCAUCUCCUAUGUUGCCUCUUCAACUCCGUGGUUCUUUCACAGAAUUUUCACCAGUGGAAUUUAUUUGUUUCUCAACUCCUUAACCUUUCUAUCUAAUACAUGCACAGGUCUCUCCUCUUAGGUAAGGGUUUCAUCAAUUUUAAUUUCCUCUGGUUGCACAAUAUGAGUCGGGUCAGGGUAGUUCUUUUUGAGCAUUGACACGUGGAAGACAUCGUGAAUCCGAGACAAGUUUGUCGAUAACUCGAGUCGGUACGCUACUUUCCCAACUCGUUGGAGAAUCUUGAAAGGUCCUACGAAUUUGGGUUGGAGUUUCUUUCCUCUACCAGCAGUAACACUUCGUAGGGAAGUAAUCUUAAGGAAAACACGAUCCCCAACUUCAAUUUUCAAAUCUUUUCUUCAGUUGUCUGCGUAGCUCUUUUGGUGACUUUGAGCUGUUUGGAGCCUCUGACGGAUUAAUUUAACCUUUUCUUGAGCAUCCUCCAUCUAAGGAAUAGUUGUAGGAUCCAAGACCUUCUUUUCUCCUAUCUUGUUGAUCUUGAUCCCUAUUUUUUGAUGUUUACAAAACGAAUGGAUGAUACUAAUAUUUCUUCAAGAUAUACUUUCAGUUAUGAAGUUAUUUGAUUCCAUGAACAAGUGCAAUUGAAAGAAGACAAAGGCUGUUGAAAGCUGUCGGACGCUUAUGAUGAAAGUACCGGACGUUCGAUAAUCAUUGCACAACUUCGGACGCAUGCUUCGGACGUCCGAUAGGAUCCUUCAAAGUCGACGAAACCAUCGGACACUGAAUAUGUCUCCAUCGGACGUCCGAUAGAAAAAAGAUGAUUUCUCAAAUCUCUCAGCUUGUUGUCGAACGCACAAAAAGCUUGCACCAGACGUCCGAUAGAAUUGAAGAAAAUUUCUCAAACUCACUGUCUGCUGUCGGACGCAAAAAAACAGGAGUACCGGACGUCCGAUACUCCAACAGCUAGUUGACUCUUUAACUACUUUCUAUCCGUUAGAAACAUUAAUAAGGCACUUUCUUGGUCCUAUAUAAAUAGUAGUUGGUCAGAUACAAAAAAUAACUUUUGCACACUGAAGAUACAAAAGAUCUAGAGUGAUUUUAGUGAGAAAAUACUCUUCAAAGAAGAUUUGUAGUCUUAGUGGUGUGAGGUUCAUUGUAAGCUUUUCAUUUGUGAGUGAAUACUUCAUGAGUGUAGCUCUGUGAGCGUUGUCUUGAGGGAUAGUAAAACUUCCUGACUUAACCGAGUGGUGUUCGGGGUAAGGAGGAGGUGAACCUUUCUUUGUACGCAAAAGUAAUUGUAAUUCAUCAACUUGAAGAAACUUAUUUGAAUUAAUCUACAAGCUCAAGAGGAGUUUAGUAGUUAAUUGGUUUGCAAUUCUUUCCUUUUUAUUUAUCUAUUGUUACGUUUAUGAUCUUUACACUGCUUAUCUCUUUCACUUGGUUGUCUUUGAUCCUUACAAUUGGUAUCAGAGCUUGGUCUCCUUGAGAUUAAACUCAAUCGGCUUAGGAGUAAAAAUGACAACCAAUAAUGUUAUAUUUUUUGAAGGACAUUCUGUCAUUAGACCACCUAUAUUUAAUGGGUCGAAUUAUGUGAGUUGGAAAGAAAGAAUGAUUAUCUUUUUGCAAUCUAUUGAUAUUGAAUUGUGGUUUAUCAUUAGUGAAGGUCCAUAUGAUGCCUCUCUUAUAGAUGAAAACACUCAUAGAUCUAGACCAAAAAUAAGAAGUGAACUGACUGCUGUGGAUAGAGCUCAUCUCACUUUAAAUGCAAAAGCCAUGAAUGUGUUAUAUUGUGCUUUAGACUCAAAUGAAUCUAUUAGAGUCAAGGGUUGUAAGUCCGCUAAAGAAAUUUGGGACAAAUUUAGAGAAAUUCAUGAAGGAAGUGAAAAUGUGAGAGAACAAAAGAAGUCUAUUUUGGUUACCAAAUAUGAAUUGUUCAAGAUGGAAUCUCAUGAAAAUAUUGAUGAGAUGUACUGUAGAUUCAACGAGUUCAUUAAGAAUUAGGAGGUGCUGGAAAAGGAAUACUCUCUAGGUGAGAAAAACAGAAAAAUUUUGAAUGCUUUAUCGAAGGAUUGGGAGAGUAAAGUGACUGCCAUUGAGGAAGCCAAAGAUCUAAAUACCUUGCCUAUUAAAUCUCUCAUUAAUUCACUGACUUCUUAUGAGUUAAAACUCAAGUCCAAGGUGCAGGAAAAAGAAAACACAAAAGUGAAAAAGAAUAUUGCUCUGAAGGCUUCACAAGAUGAAGAUGAUACAACCUCCGUGAGUGAAGAUGACAUGGAAGGUGAUAAUAGUGAUAUUGCAUUCAUCACACGAGAUUUCAAAAGAAUACUUAACAAGAGGAGAUUCAGAAAAGGUGGACCUAGCAACUCCUUCCCGAAUCAGUCCAACAACUUGAGAAACAAAGGGAAGCUAGAGUUCAACAAAAAGCAAACUGAUAAGUGUUUUGAAUGCGGCCAAACUGGACACUAUGCAAGUGAGUGUCCAGUGAUGAAGAAGAAAGAAGGAAGAAAAUCAAGGUUCAACAAUUUUCAGAUCACCUGGAAUGACUGCAAUUCAGAAGGUGAAGUCGAAGAAGAAAAUGAAUCUGCCCAAGUAACUUUCAUGGCCAUUGGUGAUGAAGAGGUAACCACAUGUAACUCUCAAACUGAUAGUGAUAGUGAAUUCGAUGAUGAUGUUAAUUUUUUUUGGAAAAAAUGCACAACAAUUUGAAAGAAUUCUAUGUUAAAAAUAAGGAACUAAAACAGAAGAUUAACUUUCUGAUACAAGACAAGUUUGUUUCGAGAAAACAAAUGUCUGAGAAAUGAAAAUGAGAACCUGAAAAGGAUUGAAAAUUAUUUGCAUGUUGAACUUGAUAGAAAAACAAACCUCUAUAACAUGCUCAGAAAUGAACAAAAUAACUUGAAAAGAAGAAUGGAUGAUCUUAGUCAUAUGCUUCAACAUAAGAGAGAAAACCGGUUUCAAAGGAAUGACGCAAAAUCUCAUCUUGGCACUCAUCAGAUAAGACUGAAUCAAAAUGCAAAUGAGUUUGCUAUUCAUAGGAAAAGGCAAGUCAGAUUUAUUAAACCCGUUCUUAUGAAUAACUCUUUAACUGAAUGUAGCUUCUGUUGUCAAUUUGGCCACAUAAAAAGUAAUUGUUAUGUAAGAAAAAAUAUGAGAAAUGGCAUGAAAUACAUGUGGAUAGUUAGACAUGAUACUAACUCUAACAAGUAGGAGAUAUUGGUAAGAUUGAUGAGAUUUUUGUUUAUAAUAUUUUUUUUGUAAUUCUCUUUUGAUGUAUCUGAUGUUUUGAACUGAGUUUUUCCUUCAUGUUCUUGAAUAUUACUGAUUUUGUAUGAUAUCAAAAAGGGAGAUAAAAGAACAAAUUCUGAUCUAAUGAUGAUUUAUUUUGUUGAACUCUUUGUGAUAUGUUGGUGAUUGCUGAAUUCUGGUACCAUUUCUCUGUUUUUGUUUGGAAUAUUGGAUUCUCUAUUAUUGUUGCUAGAUUACGGUAUGAGAUUUUUACUCUCAUCUUAUGAUGACAAAAAGGGGGAGAAAUGGAUGCUAUGUGUAAGGGGGAGUUAUUCUGAGUUUAUGAGUUUGACUCUUAAAAGUUUUGAAUACGAUGAUUGAGGGGGAACUUAUACUUAUUUUUAUUUCUUUCCAUCCAUUGUUUUGUCAUCAUCAAAAAGGGGGAGAAUGUUGAUCUUGAUCCCUAUUUUUUGAUGUUUACAAAAUGAAUGGAUGAUACUAAUAUUUCUUCAAGAUAUACUUUUAGUUAUGAAGUUAUUUGAUUCCAUGAGCAAGUGCAAUUGAAAGAAGACAAAGGCUGUUGAAAGCUAUCGGAUGCUUAUGAUGAGAGUACCGGACGUCCGAUAAUCAUUGCACAACUUCGGACGCAUGCUUCGGACGUCCGAUAAGAUCCUUCAAAGUCGACGAAACCAUCGGACGCUGAAUAUGUCUCCACCGGACGUUCGAUAAAAAAAAGAUGAUUUCUCAAAUCUCUCUGCUUGUUGUCAGACGCACAAAGAGCUUGCACCGGACGUCCGAUAGAAUUGAAGAAAAUUUCUCAAACUCACUGUCUGCUGUCGGACACAAAAAAACAGGAGUACCGGACGUCUGAUACUCCAACGGCUAGUUGACUCUUCAGCUACUUUCUAUCCGUUGGAAGCAUUAAUAGGGUACUUUCUUGGUCCUAUAUAAAUAGUGGUUGGUCAGAUACAAAAAAUAAUUUUUGAACACUGAAUAUACAAAAGAUCUAGAGUGAUUUUAGUGAGAAAAUACUCUUCAAAGAAUAUUUGUAAUCUUAGUGGUGUGAGGUUCAUUGUAAACUUUUCAUUUGUGAGUGAAUACUUCAUGACUGUACCUCUGUGAGGGUUGUCAUGAGGGAUAGUAAAACUUUCUGGCUUGACCGAGUGGUGUUCGGGGCAAGGAGAAGGUGAACCUUUCUUUGUACGCAAGAGUGAUUGUAAUUCAUCAACUUGAAAAAGCUUCUUUGAAUUAAUCUACAAGCUCAAGAGGAGUUUGGUAGUUAAUUGGUUUGCAAUUCUUUCCUUUUCAUUUAUCUAUUGUUACGUUUGUGAUCUUUACACUACUUAUGUCUUUCACUUGGUUGUUUUCGAUCCUUACAUAUCUCAUCCCAGUAUAUCGGAGAUCGGCACUUCUGUCCAUAAAGAGUCUCAUAAAGCACCAUUUGAAUCGAUGAAUGGUAACUGUUGUUGUAGGUGAAUUCCACUAAAGUCAUAUAUUGGCCCCAAUUACCCCUAAAGUCCAAGACACAAGUGCUUAACAUAUCUUCAAGGGUUUGAAUUGUUCGCUCCGACAGUCUAUCUGUUUGAGGGUGAUAAGUGGUACUUAGGUUCAAUUUAAUUCCCAAGGUCUCCUGAAACUUUUGAAACUUUUGCCAAAACCUAGACACAAAACGAGGGUCUCAGUCAGAAACUAUACUUACGGGGAUUCCAUGUAAUCUCACAAUCUCCUCCAUAUACAUCUGAGCCAACUUAUCUAUGGAAUACCUCACAUUCACAGGUACAAAGUGAGCCGAUUUGGUUAACCGAUCGACGAUCGCCCAAACGGCAUCAUGUCUCUUUUGUGUUCUAGGCAAUCCAGAAACGAAACCCAUGGCAAUAUUCUCCCACUUCCAUUCGGGUAUCUCAAGAGGUUUCAGUAAUCCAGAAGGUUUCUGGUGUUCCAUCUUAACCUGCUGGCACACUAAACAGUUUUGUACAUAUUGAGAUAUAUCCCUCUUCAUUUUAUCCUACCAGCAUAACCAGUGUAGGUCUUGAUACAUCUUGUUACUACCCGGAUAGAUUGUGUAUUUUGAUCAAUGGGUUUCUUCUAAAAUUUCUUUUUUCAAAUUCUCAUCCAUAGGCACUACUAUUCGAUUUCUAAAUCUCAAAAUUCCUUCAGGACUUAAAUUGAAAUCCGGAAUUUCUCCAUUCUCCACCUUUUUCACCUACUUUUGAACCAUUGGAACUUCAGUUUGAGCCUCUUUGAUUCUAUCCAAUAGAGCGGAUGUCACUCGGAUGUUUCCAAAGAUUAUCUUCUUAUGUUCCAACCUAGGGUUCCACUCACCAACGACUCCUAACAUUUCCCACUCUUUAGCUAUUAACCCAGAUAUUCGAGCCUUCCGACUUAGGGCAUCAGCUACUACAUUAACUUUACCCGGAUGGUAGUUAAUUGUGCAGUCAUAGUCUUCCAAAAAUUUCAUCCACCGACGUUGUCUCAUAUUCAGUUCUUUUUGAAAAAAGAGGUAUUUAAGGCUCUUAUGAUUGGAAUAAACCUCAAAGGUUACCCCAUACAGGUAGUAUCUCCACUUUUUCAGAGCAAAGACAACUGCGGCCAGCUCUAAGUCAUGAGUGGGAUAAUUUUGCUCGUGGAUUUUUAGUUUUAUAAAAGCAUAGGCUAUCACAUUCUAGUUUUGCAUCAAUACACAUCCCAAACGUUCCCUCGAGGCAUCAGUAUAAACAAUGAAACUGUCCUUACCGUUAGGCAAGGUCAGAAUAGGGGCCAUGGUCAAUCUUCGCUUCAACUCUUGAAAACUAUUCUCACACUUAUCACUCCACAGAAACCGACCACCUUUCUUUGUCAAAUCAGUUAGGGUUUUUGAGUCUUGUAAGGCUAUAAAUAGCCAAUAUUAUUUAACUAUUCAGGGGACAGGAUAUUGGAGAUGAAUUAAUAAAAAGAGAGUUGUCUCCUUUUAUGGAGUUCCUUGAUGGAACUUGAGUUUCUUCUUGAACAAUAUCAAGUAUUUAGCUUUGAUACUUGUGGUGUUCAAGGCAAGAUGAUCACAUUAUCUUGUUCUUUCAAGCCAAUAACCAAUCCACUAAGUUUCUAGAGACGAGUUCUCUUUAGAUCUAGCAAGGUAGUUAUUGUUCCAUGCCAAUAACCAAUCCACUAGGUUUCUAGAGACGGGUUCUCUUUUGGUCUAGCAAGAUAGUUAUUGUUCCAUAACCUGAUCAAGAUAGAUCCUUCCGUUGCCUGAUCAAUUUGGUUCUUCAAGACAAGUUCUUGUUAGGUUGCGUUCACAUCAUGUAGAGAUUUGGGUUGCAGUCAAACCCUCUUGAAUCUCCACAUUAAGCUCUUGUACAAAAUAUCUUAUCCUUUUCCGCUCAUUAGUUACCAAUUCGGGAGCGUACUUAGAAAACUUAGUGAACUUUCCUUUGUGCUCAACUACACUAAGAGUUACUUGCCUUAAUUUUAUAAAUUCGUCCUCCCGUUUCUAUUGGUUUAGAGGCGGAAGAAACUUCUCAUUAAAUUCUCUCGUAAAGUUUUCCCAAUUCCAAGGGGUUUGGGCUCUCUCCCACUUUGCCCUUAUCAUAUCCCACCAGGCACGUACUACUCCCUCAAAUUGGAAUGCAGCAAAGUUCACUCGCCUAUUUUCGGUAUAGUCUAAAAUGACGAAUAUAUUGGUCAUCUUCUCCAACCAGCUCCCCGCUAUCUCGGGAUUAGGUUCUCCAGUGAACUUAAGUUGGUUACACUUCAGAAACCUUUCCAAAACCCUAUCUUCCCCCCUAUCCUGGGCCUCGGGUUGGUUAAAUGGCCCUGGAUCCUAUCUCUCAGCUAAUCGUUCAAGGAUAUUAGUCAUCCUAUUAAUGGCAGUAGCCACUUCGUUACCCUCUAAGUUCUCUUGUCCUUGGGUCGGUCCAGUUGCCGAUCCCUAAUUAUCCCCUUGAGGUUGGGUUUGCCUAGUCCUUCGCUCAUGACCUCGACCACUCCUUCGUCCGUCCAUAAUUCUAGUUAUGCCUAGUGCAAGAAAUAAAAGCAAUUGCGCGAGGAAUACUUUAAACAAAAGCUAACUUGAAAACAUCAGAAAUAACAAUAAUUAACAUGUAUUUACAUUUUAAAAUCCAUACAAUUAGCAAGUCAUGGGGGAUUACAAAAAUAUAGCACACAGGUACCACAAAGUACUUUUAGUCAUGUACGACUAAAGUAAAGCCAAGUGCCUUAAAAGUAGGUUGCACAGUCAAGCAAAAUACAAUGGCCUUAGCACUAGCAUCACCCAACUAUUUCUAACUACAAAAAUCAAAAGCCUAUCACUCUAGGUCUAGUCCACAGAAGGGCUAUCAGGGGGAAUCUCCUCCUCAAGUUCCUCCUCCGGAUCAUCCUCCUGAGCCGGACUCUGGACAACGUCCAUCACCUCGUCAAUCAGCUUAGUAGUAUCGGCUAGGAUUCCGGCGGCCCGAUCCCGGACCUCUUCGCCUAUCCUAGUAAGUCGAGCCCUAACUCUCUGAAGCGCAUCACGGGCAGCCUCAACUCUAGCCAUCUCGUCCACUACAGUCCCCUCUAACUCAACAAUCCUAGCACUCUGAACAUUCACCAUAAUGCUCAGUUCCUCCACCUCCAGGAGUAGAGCUCGGUUGGUAUCCACCAACUGAUGUUCCUCAAUAUUAAGGGCAAAUACGAGGUUAUUCGGGUAAGUGUAUGUUGCCCUACAGACACAUCGCGGAUGCCUAGAAGAAGAUGAGUAACGCACACGAGCUCCUUCACCCUGUGCACUUUAGUAAAUAGACCUGAGGGGCUCCACGUGGCCAUUUGCAUGACCAUUUCCAUUAGCAGCAGGUCCUCCAUUACCAUUCUCCAUCCCUGCAAAACAACCAAAAUUUCCGUAUUAGAAACUUAAAGUCACUAACUCGUUCAAAUAUAACUUAGGGUAUAACUAGGUUAUCUCAUUCCUAUUCUUAGAAGUAAAGCCUCUAAUAUAAUCUCCCAAAUAGAUCUCUAACCUAGUGCUUUGAUACCAACUGUGAUGUCUCCACUUCUCCCUAAGGCGAACCAAAAGGUAUUCGCGGGACGCCUGCCCAACUCUCGCCAGGACUCAGUACAAUUCUAGUUCAAACUUAAAGUACAAAACUAACAAUGAAAUCAGAAUAAAGGCAUGAAGUCAUUCCCAUUACAUAAAUGUUCAAUCUUACAUCAUGAAUUCAAGAUACAUCCCCUUUCCAAAAUAUACAACUUCCCAAAAGGAUGUCUAAACAAAAUACAUUCCAAAAUUCAAGUCCAAAGAGCCAUCAAGUAGGCUUUUCCAUAACUCCUUCUGAUACGUUCCUCGAUCAACUUGUUUCGAGACACGUAACACAUUUGCCCAAGGAUCUAGCGAGGAUGUCCAACGCUUGGAAUUGCGGGAUCUAGAACCAAACGGACGACAUGAUUGGAUUCAAGACGGUAGUACGACGACUCCAAUGAAGGUGUGAGGACUCGCAAAUUCCUUGUUUUUUUCCUCAAAAAUACCCUUUUAUUUGAAAAUUAUUAUUUGUCAAAACCCACUACCCAAUUAUUUCACAAUAAGUGUAAGCAAACCUAGAAAAUAGGGUUUUACGCUUCGGUUUCAAGUUUGGAGCAAAAUUAGUGUUUUCGCGAUUUUUCGCCGGAUGAAUUUUCGGUACAGAGUAAGGAUUAAAUUUAAGGAUUAAAUUUGAGGAUUAUAAGUGACUUUUAAGUGAGAAAUAAUAUGUGAUUGGUAGCAAUGAUAUAAGGUUAGUGAAUGGAAAGUAAAACCCUAGUACGUGAGUUUUUAAGAAAAACGGCGCGAACCGGCGGGUCCCGCGCACUACCGAUUGAACGCACCACUUGAUCACCAUUUUUCUCACCAAACAAAUUUAUUGAACUUGAGCAAAAUAUCUUUUCUCUUGGCAGCAAGUUUGACCGAAAUUGUGGCUCAUAUGCAAGGGAAAGAAAGAGAAAAAUUUUGUGGUCAAGAUUAGGCCAAGUGUUGGUCAAAAAUUGUGGUCACAAUUAGCUCUAAUCUUCUUGUCUUCCUAUAAGAUAACUAAGCUCCAUCUUCCCUCAUUUUUUCUUGCUAAGUGCUGAGCUAAGGGAGAGAGGAAAGGAGAGCAAGAUAAACAAAAUUUCCUUCUUGAUUUGCUUCAACCCAAGUAAGAAAUCCAAUUCUAAACCGAUUAAAGUACUAAGUGUGAGUUGGGAAGCUUGAAGAACCAAGAAAUAUCAAAGGGGGUGAAGGAUCACUCUACCAAGCCUUGCUUUUGAGGUACCAACAUUUGAUCAUGAUCUUUGUUGCUUUGAAUCUUGCUUUAAGAUGUGUUUUAGUUUAAGUUUUGGCUUGAUUUCAUGAUUAUACAAGUGGGUGUGAUGAAUUUGGAAGUUUUCCCCAAUUUAUAUGAUGAACUAGGGCUUGAUGAAUUUCUACCCAAUUUGUUGUAUGAAGUAUAUAUGUUGAAAUUAAGGUUAUAAGAGAGGCUUUGGUAGUGAUUAGACCAAGAAAUUAAAGAAAGUUCCAUUGUUUACAAAAAAUUCCAGAAUCUGGAAAAUUUUUUCCCAACAUUCUGUCCGAAUUUGAAUCCCUAUGUUAGAGGCCGAAUUGGCCUUAGGUCAAAGAAGGAAAGUUGUAGAGAAUGGUAUUUUAUAGGCGCCUACAAAAUUUCAGCUCAAUCGGAGCAAUGUAGGAUGUGAAAAGUCCAAAAUACCCUUACUAUUUUAAGUAUUUCCCAAGCAGUCCGUGUGAUCAGUUAAGUCCAGUUUAUCACGUUUUUUGACUAGGAUCCAUUCUGAUUUAGCUUUUUUCCAAAACAUGAAAGUUGUAGUAUUCUGAAUUAGCUUUCAAAUGCCUCUAAUAACACCUGAUUCGGACUUGUGUACUCUGAGAUAUGUCCAUUACAGUGUUCAGCAUUUAAACAGCCGACGAAUUGGUUUCUGGUUUAGUAAUUUGAGAAUUUGACUAAGUUACAUUAGGAACUGGACUAAGUGACCUUCAUGAAUGUUGUAGCUCUGUGUCUUAGUUUCGAAACGGCAUAGGUUUUGUCUCAAUCCGAUAAGCGUAGCUUCGGAUAUGUUAUUUCCGCAUUCGUACGUCAAAUCUGUCUUGUGCUAAGUUGAAUUUCUGCACUUGUGAUUGUUGUAAUUCUUAUUCUUAUGAUAUUGUGAGCCUAUGGAACGGCUCUUGACUUGAAUUGCUUAUGUGUGAUGUUGGGUUGUGGUUGAGGAAAAAUAAUGAAGCCAAAAUGGCUGGAAAAUUAGGUAAACACAAAGGGCGUGCUGCCCAAAUUUUCGCUCGAGGGCUAGGUUUCUAUUUGAACUUGUAUACUUUUGUUUGGCCAAUACCAUGACCGGUUUUCCAUUUUAAAACAUGAUUUUUCAUCCUGGGGUUCAAACAACCCUCUUCUUACUUGAAAGUCAUCUUUACACGUUUUACUCUUAAUUAGUCGGGUUUCUUUGUUUCCCUUAAAUGUUUUGCUCGAUAAACUGUAAUAUGUUCUCUUGUUCAACCUUAGGUUUCAUUGGUGACUAAGGGUAAUAUCCGGAAGGAUAUUUUGCACAUUAUUUUGCAUAUCUAGGUGAGUGUUCCUUAUUUGACUUUAUGGCUUGUUAUUAUCAUUUGCUAAUGUGUUAAUUGCUUUUAAUGAUUUCCAAAACGAGCUUUCUAGGCGAGUGUGUACUUUAUCACACUCGACCUAAAUAACUGUGCAAUUUUCAAGGAUUUAAUGAUUGAAAUGUUACUUGCGCAUGAAUGUAAGCCUUUUGGGUUGAACUGGCCAUUGCCCCUUGUUACCGGUCGUCUCGAGCCAGAAGCGGACUCGGUCGGGCGAUUAGGGACUUGGGUGAACGUUUGGUAUACUCGAGUAUUACCGUGUAGGUUGGUGGAGACUGGCCAACGGCCAGGACGGGGGUGAAUGAAUGAAUGAACGAACGAACGAACGAACGAGGGUUUAUUGAUAAACGAAAAAUGCAUUUUCAAAUGAUUGGAGGAAUAAGGGGAAAUGUCAGGAGAACGAAUGAACGAAUGAACGAAUUGCUCCUUGUGAGCCGUAUCCUUUUAAUGAAUGUUACUAUUGCUUUCCAUUGUAAAUGUUUCUUGAAUUAUUGAUACUCCAUGUUUAAUGUAUUGAAUUGAUUGUUUGAUUGUUUGAUUAUCUGUUUGGAACCUCACUGAGCUUUUAGCUCACCCCUUUAGUUUUGUUUUCCUUAACAGAGGACGGCGAGCAGGAUGAGAGCAUAGACUAGCCUAGUCUAGGUCUUUUGUUUCUUUUGUAAUGGUUCUCGCCCUAGUGCUUGGCAUUGGGUAGUUGUAUGGUGAAGUGAGAACCUUUGUACAUUUGAUGGUUGUACUUCCUUUUGAGAUAGCAAUGUAUAUAAGUUCCACUUUAAGUUUGGAUUGCUGCCCUAUUUAUUCUUGUGAUUUGUUCUGGAUUUGAUUAAAGAACGACUGAGUCCCGGCGAGAGCUGGGCAGGCUGCCCGCCGAACCCUCUGGUACGCCUUAGGGGGAGGUGGGGUCGUCACAGAAGGUGACUACUCCACGAGAUAGGUCGGUAGAACAAUCUGGGACGAGACGCAAGAUUGCUCAAAAUCCUUGCCAAAGCAAGUAAAAGGCUCGAACACUCUUCUUAGAAGAAGGAACGAAAAUAAGACAAUUUUUAUUGAUAAAAGUUCUGACCCUCAAACCUUACAAAGCAAGCUAUUUAUAGGCUAAAGUGACUAAAACCCUAAAGGCUAGGAAAAGGAAAAAGUCGGCCCAUGCUCUUACUUAAUCAUUAACUAAUUGCUAACUAAUUGAUGGGGCCUAAGGCCUUAUUCUCUUGGUGGUCCGCUUCACUCUUCGUGGGUUUGGAUCAUGGUGUAAAUGACUCGAUUGUCUCUCUCCAAGCCCUCAAUAUCUUUGUGAACUCCGUGUUGGUCUUGGACGACUCUAACUAGGGUUUGGAGUAAUUGUUUGAAGAGUUUGGCCCGUGCAUGUGUGAUUGGACCCAAUGGGACUCGGACUGGGUCAUUGUGUGGGCCGAGGCUCGUGCACACGUCACCUUCCAUAUCAGUCCCUGUUAAGAAAAAUAAAUCUAACGGGGUGAGCGGAUGCUCGUGAGGCCAAGAAAAACAGGCAUAACAUGUAGUUCAAGUAACAAUGGCAUUAAAGCAAGAAUUAAAGCUGUAACAUUCAAGCAAUUCACAAAUUUCAAUUUAACACAUUCAAUGAGGAUACAGGAGCUCUCAAGAGCUAAGGGCCUAUUUGGCACCCUAGUUUUUUACCAAGUUUUUUAGCUACUAGUUUUUUAACAACUUUUGUUACAAGAACCCUAAAAAACUUUCCAAAGUUUUUUAUCUAUACACUUCAAAAAUCUUACACAAAAAAUUUCUCAAAAAUUUUUCUUCCUCUCUUACCCAACCCACCACACAAGCCACCACCUCUCUCGGCGCCGGUAACCUAAAAAAAAAAAAUUUUUUGAGCUCCUCACCCUCACCCCCUCCCCUCUUCCCCUCUCCCUCCCCCAUCACCUUUCCCCUCCUGCUAUGUGCGAUCUGGUCGCACGACCAGAUCGCAAAGAGGGAGGGGGAGGGGGCUGCAAUCUGGUCGCGGUCUGGUCCCAGAUCGCAGAGCAGAGAGGGGGAGAGUGGCGGAGGAGGGAGAGGGGAAGAGGGUAGGGGAGGGAGGGAGAGAAAAAGCAAAAAAAAAAUAAUGCACAACUGCCGGCCUUCCUUGGGCGACGGAAUGCGAGGGAGAGGGGAGAGGAGAGGGAGAGGGAAGAGGGGAGGAAAGGGGGAGAGUGGGCAGAGAGGGUGGCGGGCCUGUGAGGACCCGCAACUUUCCUACAUUUUUCCUCAAAAAUGCCUUUUAUUUGAAAAUUAUUAUUUAUUAAGGCCCCCUACCUCAUUAUAUCACACUAAGUGUAAGUAAACCUAGAAAAUAAGGUUUUACGCUUUGGUUUUCAGUUUUGAGCAAAAUUAGGGUUUCUGCGAUUUUUCCGCCGGAUGAAUUUUCGGUACUGGCCGAGGAUCAAUUUGAUGAGUAAAAGUGACUUUUAAGUGAGAAAUAAGAUGUGAGUAGUAGCAAUGAUAUAAGGUUAGUAAAUGGGAGGUAAAAACCCUAGUACGUGAGUUUUAAGAAAAACGGCGCGAACCGGCGGGUCCCGCGCAUUGCCGAUUGAACGCACCACUUGACCACCAUUUUCUUACCCAACAAAUUUGUUGACUUUUGUACAUAAUAUCUUCUCUCUUGGCAGCAUGUUGACCGAAAAUUGGUGGCUAAGAAAGGCAAGAAAGAAAGAGAAAAAAAGAAAGGGUGGUGGUGGUGACACUUGUCACCACCUCAUGGCUUCUUACCAAGACCAAACUCCAUCCAUAUAACCUCAAGACUUAGCCAUUUCUUCCUUAUUUCUGCUGGUGCUGGCCGAACUUAGCUUGGAGAAAAACACCAAGGAAGAUUUCUUCAUUUCACCUCCAAAUCCAACAACUUAGUGAGAAAAUCCACAAAGUAAACCGAUUAAACCUACUCUUGAGUGAUUAUCUAGUGAUUGGUGGUGGAAAUUUGGGAAGAGAAAGCUUGGGGCUGCUCUUAGGGACUUCUAAUCAAGGUAAGAGAGUUUAUCUCUCCAAGUUUUACAUCUAAUCUUGUUAAAUUAAGUUUAGUAGUUGAUUAUAGUGGUGAGAUUAUGGAUGAUUAGCAAGUUUUAGUAGUUUUCCCCAAUUUAGUUGAUGAACUAGGGUUGCUGAUUUUCUUCUCAAGUUGAUGUAUGAUGCAUGAAUGUUGCAAUUAAAGUUAUAUAAGGUUGUUUAGUGGUGAUUAGAACCAGAAAUUUGAGGAAAUUACACUUAGAGCUAAAAAUUCCAGAUUUCUGGAAAAUUUCCCAAGCAUUCUGUCCGAAAUUGUAUCUAUAUGUUAGAGGCCGAAUUGGCCUUUGGUCAAAGAAGGAAAGUUGUAGGAAAUGAUGUUUUAUAGGUGCCUAUAAAAUUUCAGCUCAAUCGGAGCAACGCAGAACGUGAAAAGUCCAAAAUACCCCUACUGUUUUAAGAAUUUCCCAGCAGUCCGUUUCUUCAGUUCAGUCCAGUUUAUCACGAUUUUUGAUCAGGAUCCAUUCUGAUUUAGCUCUGGGCCAAAACAUAAAAGUUGUAGUGUUCUGAAGUAGCUUUAAAAUGCCUCAAAGAAAACCUGAUUCGGACUUGUGUACACUGAGUUAGGUCCGUUACAGCAUAAUGCGUUUAAACUGCCGGUGAAUUGGUUUCCGGUUUAGUAAUCUGAGAUUUUGACUAAGUUACAUUAGGAAAUGGACUAGGUGAUCUUCAUGAAUGUUAUAGCUCUGUGUCUUAGCUUCGAAACGGCGUAGGUUUCGUUUUAAUCCGAUAAGCGUAGCCUCGGGUAUGGUAUUACCGCAUUUGUACGUCAAAUCUGUCUUGAACUAAAUUGCGUUUCUGCACUUGUACUUAAUACGAUUCUUGUUAUUGUGAUAUUGUGAGCCUAUGGAACGGCUCUUGACAUAAAUUGCUUAUUUGUAUGAUGUUGGGAUGUUGUUGAAGGAAAAUAUUGAAGCCUAAAUGGCUGGAAAUUAGGUAAACACAAAGGGCAUGCUGCCCAAAUUUUUAUUCGAGGUCUAGAAAACUAUCUUUGCGACUUGAGUAUAGGUUAAGUGAUUAUCACUUGAACUAUCGAGGACCUUUGCCACUUGUUUAUCGAGGGUUAUAUGUUAGGACUUGGCCGAACUUGUACCCUUAGGAAAGCGAUAUGAAACACUAUGAAACCGUUUUACUUGCACUUUUGACUCAAGAGUCAUCUUCAAGCAAAAAUGUUAUUAAAUUUUUCAGUUUAAAGAGCGAGCAACUAUUUCACGACUCUUCUCAAGUGAAUUUCAAUUUCUUGAUUCUUAUUGAACGAAACACUUAAGUUUCAAACCUUGGUUGAUUUUCAAAGUUCUCAAGUUAAGUUUUAUCGCAGAUUUGGACUCCCAACUCGGAGUACCACCAAGACACGAGCACUAGAAGCACUAUUUUGGUGAGUGCUUCCAAAUAUCCGAUUGUACUUGAUAUGUGUACUCCCUACUUGACUUGCGUGAUUACAUGACAAUGAAUGAAAGGGCAAGGGUGUACUUUAUCGCACUUGCCCUAAUAUGACCUGUUCUUGCUAUUGAUCAUACUUGACUUGUUGUACAUGUACUUGAAUUAUAUCUUGCCUGGAAUUCCAGAAACCCUGUGGCUAGUUAAUCGAGUCGAGCCGGCAAGGGCCUGGUCGAUUAGAUAACAAACCCUGGGUCACUUGUAAUGUCGAGUGGAGUGUUAUCUCCUCGACUAACGGUAUACUCGAGUAUUACCACCCAUGUUUAUAUGGCGUGCGGGCCCGGAAUAGGGGGUUGAUCGGUGGACGGAAAUUGGCGUGUAGCGGAGUUUAUUUGGACUUGGAAUUACUUGAAAGUUGACGGAGUGUCAACUACCACUUGACCAAGCUGGAAUGGAGCCGUAACAUGAAUACCGUAUCCUUAUAUGUGAAUGUGCAUCUAAUACUACUUGACUAGCUGAAGUACUAUUGCCUUGAUUUGACUUGUUUGCUCGCCAUUUCACUUUUAUUUUGCUAUAACUUGGUUGCUGACCAAUUUGAUAUUUGGGAACUUCACUGAGCUUUGGCUCACCCCGUUAGUUUGUUUUCCUUACAGGGGUACGAGAACGCGAGAGACUUGUAAAAGACUAGUGUAGCCUUUUGUUUUGACUUUUGAAUUUUGGUUUUUGUACUCGCGCUAUUCCUCGAAUGGAACAUUUUGUACCUGGAUUGUAUACGUUUUGAAUUAGUGUGGUGUAUUAAGACUUUGUACCCGACUCCUAUCAUGUAAAUCAUAAGUUUGAAUUGUGAAUGUUAUUUAUGGUUCAUGGAUGUAUGUAUAUGAUUCGAUUGAGAUAGUGAGUGAGUCCUGGCGAGAUCUAGGCAGGCGGUCCGCCGAACCCUCUGGUACGCCUUAGGGAGAGGUGGGGUCGUCACAGGUGGUAUCAGAGCCUAGGCUUGAAUUGAUCUGGAUAGAUUGAGUGCUUGACUUGAUAGGCUAGGGUUUUAUUAUCGAGUUUAGCCUUAGCCUUGUUUUGUGCUUGAUGUGUACUUACCUUUGCAAUGUUAUUUGCAAACUUAGGUGAUGGCAGACACUGACUCUUCUGGGGGUGCUGGACCGUCCCAGCCUGCACCUACUGAUAUACCGACCGAGAUACCUACUGAGGUGCCUGAGGUGCCUACUGACGCACCUACUGACGCUCCCGUGGUCGAGCCAUAUCUAGCGGGCCCUGUAUGUCGCGUGAUCACAUACCAGGAGGUUCCCGGCGGGCCAGUGCAGCGGUGGUCCCCAGCGCGCAAGAUCCGGCGCUGCGAUUGCUGGAAGACCUACUCUUACCCUGACCGAGUAGUGCUUGCUAUAGAUGACGAUCGGAGACGAUUGGGUAGCACCAAUCGUAGGUGCUUUGCGGAGAUAGAGCGUCUCCAGGCCACUCUCCGAGAUCAGGGAGCUCGGAUACGCGAGUUGGAGGCCGCAGUUCUGGCAGAGCAGCAGCAGUCUGAUGCUUACCGUGAUCAGGCUCAUGCGGUGACUGGACGUUUGACGCACAUAGUUGGACACAUACGAGACCGGACUGACCACAUCCUGACCGAGUGCGAGGCACUUGUUGAGGACGUGAUCCAGGACUUGGCCGAGGAAGGCCAAGCGCCUGUAGCUCCUGCCGCUCCCGGUGCCCCUGAGGAGGAUCCAGAGGAGGAUCCUGAGGAGGACAUGGAGGAGGAGCCGAGCGCGUCCUCGGAGUCAGUUGGGUCGGCGUCUAGCCAGACCACUUGUUAGGAUGGAGGUUUUAGGAGUUUUUGUGGGUUAGUUAGGAACAUAGUGGGACGACACGUCUUCUUUUGUUUUUGUUUUAGACGUGUCCUGGUGGAUGUAAAUAUCUUUUGUUCUAUGUUCCUUGGCUGUUAUAGCCUUUGACUACGCGACUUGUUGGCCUGUAUAUAUGACUUGUUUGAUAUGUAAAUAAAGUGCUUGUUUCUUACGUGUUUAUUUGCCUCUAGUUAUAUUGUUGCAACACGAUAUAUGAGUCGUACCUUACCCCGUUUACAUGUUUCUAGUUGGGUAACUCUCAACAUGGAAGAUAAAAGGAGUCGGACCAAGAAAACUAAUCGAGAACGCGGUUCUAGGCGAGGCCGUGAGGGUGAACAAGUACAGGAACCGGUGCCUGAACCGAUAGAGGAGAGGGAGGCAGCGGUUGAACAGCAACCUGAACCCCAGACUGCCGGGGAAGAUCAGGUGGCCACUGCCAUCCAACAGAUGACCAAUAUUUUGACUCGAUUGGUGGAGCAACAGGGUCAAGGGUCUGUAAAUCAACCUAGAGACCCUGAUUCGGGGCAAGAUAGAGCCUUGGAGAGAUUCCAGAAAUUCUCUCCACCCAAAUUCUUAGGAGGACCAGACCCAUAUGAGGCUGAGAAAUGGCUGGAGGCCAUGAUAAAUAUCUUUGCUGCCCUAAACUAUGCUGAGGAGAGACAAGUUCAAUUUGUUGUAUUCCAGUUCGAGGGGCCAGCUAGGGCCUGGUGGAAUGUGGUAAGGGCCAAGUGGGAGAGAGAGGGAACUGCAUGGACUUGGCUAAACUUUGUGCGGGACUUCAACGAAAAAUACCUUCCACCCAUCGUCCAGGAGAAGAGAGAGGAUGAAUUCAUUAAACUCCGUCAGGGGUUGAUGAGUGUAACUGAGUAUGAGACUCAGUUUACCAAGUUAUCCAAAUUUGCUCCCGAACUGAUAGCUACGGAGCCGAGAAAAGUACGGAGGUUUAUACAAGGAUUAAAUGUGGAGUUACAAGAAGCCUUAGCAGCGGUCCAAAUCAAUACUUUUACGGAGGUUUUGGAGAAGGCCAUGAGAAUAGAAACUGCUAGGACGCAAGUAAGGAAUUUCCACGCUAAGCGGAAAGGGGCACCUAGUGGAGCCCAAGGGUCGGUACGAAGCGAGCGGAGCGUGCCACCUGCUAAAUCCGGUCGUGGAGCUGGAGGUGGACGAUUCUCAAGCACGUUUAGGGGUAGUGCUCCGAGAGGGAAUGCCCAGAGGGGAGGCCAAGGUGGUAGAGGUCAAGGUAGAGGUUUUACUCAGGGAGGUCAAACCUCCACUCCCCGAGUGACAUGUGGGUAUUGUGGGAAAUUGAACCACACUGAAGACGAGUGCUGGAGAAAGGCUCGGAAGUGCUUGAGGUGCGGAAGUGCGGAUCAUCAGAUGGUCAACUGUCCGCUAAUCAGUGACACUCAGUCGACUGCCAGGUCAAACCCAAAGCCGACUACUGCUGGAGGGGCUAGGUCGAGGGUACCGGCCAGAGUGUACUCGCUAGAUCAAACAACUGUGCUUGAACCAACCAAGGUGGUAGAAGGUACAAUCCCUGUUUUUCACCGGUUAGCUAGAAUUUUAAUAGACCCCGGUGCUACUCACUCUUUUGUUAAUCCUGCAUUUAUGCUUGGAAUUGACUCGAAAGUUGAAAGGUUACCUUAUGACUUAGAGGUAAGAACACCUACAGGUAAUCAAACUUUGCUUGCGAAUGAGGUGUAUAGGAGUUGUGAUAUUUGGAUUGGCGAACGGAAAUUGGUAGUGGAUCUCAUUAGUCUAGCCAUUAAGGGGUACGAUGUUAUCCUAGGUAUGGACUGGCUAGCUCACUAUCAUGCUCGGGUAGAUUGUAAGAUGAAAGUGGUCGAAUUUUGUAUACCAGGGGAGGCAACUCUAAAGCUUGAUGUGAGGGGUAUGAUAGCCUCUUCUGCACUUCUUUCGGGUAUAAGGGCUAGGAAAUUGCUUAGUCGUGGGGCUCGUGGUUACCUAGCUUUCCUAAUUAACACUCCGGGAGAAAAGACUAAGUUGGAAGACAUGCCAGUAAUCAGUGAAUACCCGGACGUAUUUCCGGAAGAAUUGGAGUCUUUGCCACCCGAAAGGGAGAUUGAAUUUAAGGUUGAUUUAGUACCCGAAACCACUCCCAUCUCUAAAACUCCUUAUCGUAUGGCACCUGCUGAGCUCAAGGAGUUGAAGGUGCAACUGCAAGAUUUGCUAGAACGAGGGUUUAUUCAUGAGAGCGAGUCUCCAUGGGGAGCUCCAGUUCUAUUUGUUAAGAAAAAAGACGGGAGUUUAAGGUUGUGCAUUGACUAUCGAGGAUUGAAUGCAGUAACCAUUAAGAAUAAAUAUCCCUUGCCCCACAUAGAUGAGUUAUUUGAUCAAUUACAAGGGGCUGUAGUGUUUUCCAAGUUGGAUCUGCGACAAGGGUACUAUCAGUUGAGAAUUAGAAAGGAGGAUGUGCCAAAAACGGCAUUUAACACUCGAUAUGGGCAUUUUGAGUUCGCUGUGAUGCCUUUUGGGUUAACCAAUGCCCCAGCAGCAUUCAUGGACAUGAUGCAUCGAGUGUUCAAACCUUACUUGGAUAGGUUUGUAGUGGUGUUCAUUGAUGAUAUCUUGGUGUAUUCGAGGUCAAUGGAGGAGCAUGAACAACAUUUGCGGAUAGUAUUGCAAACCCUAAGAGAGCACCAGCUGUUUGCUAAGUUCAGUAAGUGUGAAUUUUGGUUGGAAGAGGUGGCGUUUUUAGGUCAUAUAAUUUCGAAAGAUGGCCUUGCGGUAGACCCGGCAAAAGUGGAAGCUGUGGCUAAAUGGAAACGGCCAGAAAAUCCCACCGAGGUGCGAAGUUUUCUAGGUCUAGCAGGAUACUACCGCAGAUUUAUAAAGAAUUUCUCGAGAAUUGCAGGACCCUUGACUAACCUGACCAAGAAACAAGGAAAGUAUAUUUGGGACGUUAAGUGUGAAAAUGGUUUCCAAGAACUUAAGAAACAAUUGACGAUGGCUCCAAUUUUAGCUUUGCCCAGUGGGAAGGAUAGUUAUACGGUUUAUACCGAUGCUUCGAAAGAAGGGCUAGGAUGUGUGUUGAUGCAGAAUAGGAAUGUGAUUGCUUACGCAUCCCGAAAGUUAAAAACUCAUGAGCAAAAUUAUCCGACCCAUGACUUAGAACUUGCAGCUGUAGUGUUCGCUUUGAAGAAAUGGCGACAUUAUCUUUAUGGUGUAACUUUUGAGGUUUUUACGGAUCAUAAAAGUCUUAAGUAUCUGUUUUCCCAGAAGGAGUUGAAUCUAAGACAACGUCGGUGGGUAGAGUUCUUGGAGGACUAUGACUGUACAAUUAACUAUCAUCCUGGAAAGGCCAACGUUGUAGCAGAUGCUUUAAGCCGGAAGGCUCAACUAGCAAGUUCUAUAGUGAGAGAGUGGAGCCUAUUGGAAGAUGUAUGUGAGUGGAAACCUCGUUUGGAACCGGAAAAGGUGGUUUUUGGAAAUAUUGAGGCGAAAUCGGCAUUGAUGGAACGAAUCAAAGAGGGCCAAGUGAAGGAUUCAAUAGUACAGAAGUGGGUAGAGAGAGUGAAGAAAGGGGAGUUACCUAAUUUUAAUCUAAGCCCUGAUGGAAUUUUAAAGUUUCGAAAUCGUGUCGUGGUACCUAGGGAUGAGGAAUUGAAAAGGGAGAUUUUAGAGGAAUCACAUUGCUCUAGAUAUACGGUGCACCCAGGGAAUAAUAAAAUGUACCAAGAUCUUAGGAAUCUGUAUUGGUGGGAGAAAAUGAAGGCGGAGACUGCCCAGUUUGUGCAAAAAUGUCUUACGUGCCAACAGGUAAAAGCUGAGCAUCAAAAGCCGUCAGGUUUGUUACAGCCUUUAGAGAUCCCUGAGUGGAAGUGGGAGCACAUAACGAUGGAUUUUGUGUCAGGAUUGCCACGAACACAAAAGGGGCAUGAUGCCAUUUGGGUAAUAGUGGAUCGAUUGACUAAGACUGCACAUUUCUUGCCAGUAAAUAUGAAAUAUCCUUUGGAGAAACUUGCUAAAAUUUACAUGGAUGAGGUAGUGAGACUACAUGGGGUACCAGUGAGCAUUGUAUCUGAUAGAGACCCUAGGUUUGUAUCCCGAUUCUGGCAGAAAUUACAAGAGGCUCUAGGAACUAAGCUGAGUUAUAGCACAGCGUAUCACCCGCAAACUGAUGGACAAUCUGAGAGAACUAUUCAAACUCUUGAGGAUAUGCUGAGAGCCUGUAUUGUGGAUUUUAAAGGAAGUUGGAGCCAAUACUUGACUUUGGUUGAAUUCGCGUAUAACAACAGUUAUCAUUCCUCUAUUCAAAUGGCUCCAUAUGAAGCUUUGUACGGACGACGAUGUCGAUCUCCAAUCCAUUGGGAUGAAGUAGGGGAGAGAAAAGUCAUAGAUCCAGCUACUAUACCAUGGGUUGAGGAAGCCUAUGAAAAGGUGAAAGUGAUCCGCCAGAGACUUCAAACCGCCCAAAGCCGUCAGAAAAGCUAUGCCGAUCAUAGGAGGAAAGACUUGGAGUUUGAAAUAGGAGAUAAGGUGUUUCUUCGGAUCACACCAUUGAAGGGAAAGAUUAGAUCCGGAAAAGGGAAAAAGUUGCAACCACGAUAUAUAGGACCUUUCAAUGUGCUACGACGAAUAGGAAAGGUGGCUUAUCGACUUGAGUUACCAGCUAGCUUAUCUAGGAUCCAUGACGUUUUCCACGUUGCUUUGCUUAAGAAAUACCAUCCGGAUCCGACUCAUAUUUUGCCACCCGAAGAUGUUGAACUUGACGAGUCUUUAACCUAUGAAGAACGACCUAUUCAAAUACUGGAUCGAAAGGUGAAGGACUUGAGAAACAAGCAGAUUCCUUUAGUAAAGGUACUAUGGAAGCAUCAUGAAGUGGAAGAAGCAACUUGGGAGUUAGAAACGGAUAUGCAAGAAAAGUAUCCUGGCCUGUUCGCGACAAAAGGUAUGAAUUUCGAGGUCGAAAUUCUUUUAAGGGGGAGAGGAUGUGAGGACCCGCAACUUUCCUACAUUUUUCCUCAAAAAUGCCUUUUAUUUGAAAAUUAUUAUUUAUUAAGGCCCCCUACCUCAUUAUAUCACACUAAGUGUAAGUAAACCUAGAAAAUAUGGUUUUACGCUUUGGUUUUCAGUUUUGAGCAAAAUUAGGGUUUCUGCGAUUUUUCCGCCGGAUGAAUUUUCGGUACUGGCCGAGGAUCAAUUUGAUGAGUAAAAGUGACUUUUAAGUGAGAAAUAAGAUGUGAGUAGUAGCAAUGAUAUAAGGUUAGUAAAUGGGAGGUAAAAACCCUAGUACGUGAGUUUUAAGAAAAACGGCGCGAACCGGCGGGUCCCGCGCAUUGCCGAUUGAACGCACCACUUGACCACCAUUUUCUUACCCAACAAAUUUGUUGACUUUUGUACAUAAUAUCUUCUCUCUUGGCAGCAUGUUGACCGAAAAUUGGUGGCUAAGAAAGGCAAGAAAGAAAGAGAAAAAAAGAAAGGGUGGUGGUGGUGACACUUGUCACCACCUCAUGGCUUCUUACCAAGACCAAACUCCAUCCAUAUAACCUCAAGACUUAGCCAUUUCUUCCUUAUUUCUGCUGGUGCUGGCCGAACUUAGCUUGGAGAAAAACACCAAGGAAGAUUUCUUCAUUUCACCUCCAAAUCCAACAACUUAGUGAGAAAAUCCACAAAGUAAACCGAUUAAACCUACUCUUGAGUGAUUAUCUAGUGAUUGGUGGUGGAAAUUUGGGAAGAGAAAGCUUGGGGCUGCUCUUAGGGACUUCUAAUCAAGGUAAGAGAGUUUAUCUCUCCAAGUUUUACAUCUAAUCUUGUUAAAUUAAGUUUAGUAGUUGAUUAUAGUGGUGAGAUUAUGGAUGAUUAGCAAGUUUUAGUAGUUUUCCCCAAUUUAGUUGAUGAACUAGGGUUGCUGAUUUUCUUCUCAAGUUGAUGUAUGAUGCAUGAAUGUUGCAAUUAAAGUUAUAUAAGGUUGUUUAGUGGUGAUUAGAACCAGAAAUUUGAGGAAAUUACACAGAUUAGGUCAUCUUUAUUUUUUUAGCUUAACCCUAAAAUUAGACGAUUACCAAGAGCCUUUCUUCUUGUGUUGCGAGAAAUGCUAAAGUUUCUUUCUUGUCCUAGAUAAAUUCUUGUAGUUACGACAUGGCAAUAUUAUACUGUAAAUCUUCCUUACUAUUUGUGCAUUUUUCCAGACUAUUGUAUGGAUAGAAACUAUUUUUUAAAAAGUUUUUCUCAAGGUUUUCUAAACAUGUUUCUACGAUUUUUUUUUAUAUUUUACAAAUACCUUUUUAUCUCACAAAUACCAUAUCAUAAAAAGUUUUACCAUAAUUAAAACUAAUUUUUUCCAAAUAAGCUUCAAUUGUCAAGGACUCAUUUGAACAGUUUUUGCCAUGGAGGUUACUAGACAUGAAGAAAAAACUAAUUUUUCCAAAUAAUCUCCAAUUGUCAAACACUCACUCCAAAAGUUUUUGCCACAGAGGCAACUGAAGAUGAAGAGAAAAAUAAUUUUCCUAUUUAGUCCAAUUUUUGGUAUGGUGAAAGAUGGAAGUUUAAAAAAAAUAACAAACAAAAAUAUAUUGGAUGUUUGCUAUAAUAAAAUUUGCAACUGAUGCAGAAUAUUAGAAAUUUCAAAUGUUGAUCGUUCAUAGUACUGGUCUUUAUAUCUAUCUAUAUAGUAUUCUUUGUCUAUAUCAUUUCUGGAUUUACUUUGCCAUAGGUAAUAGAAAUCUAAUGAUAAAAAGAAAAAAAUCAUGUAAGACUAAUAGACUACCAUUAUUAACAUAACACUCUAAGAGCCAAAGGUGUUACUGUUCAUUCACUUUUUCGUCGUCGGUAUCACGUGCCAGAGGCGUGUCUUUUUUUUUUUUUUUCGGUGACCAGGGAACUGUGAAGAAGAGCCACCUUAAACGCGUGCUCAUUGUAAUAAUUCCCAAGCUUGGGGUUAGUGGGGUUUGCCAGGGGAAGGAAAACGCUGUCAUAAUUAGGGGCCUGGGAGGAGGAGUUUCUGUUUGCUUUUCCUGAUAGUCAGCAGAGAAAAGUUCCCAGUUGUGAUUUCGUCUCUUCCGGCCAUUUCCUUAUGGCUUCCCGUUUCUUUUCCUAAUUUCCUUUCUUUCUCCUGAUUUCUUUUCCUAAUUUUAUUUUAAGGCGUUAUACUCUCAUCUUGGUUUCACCAUUUUCUUUUCUUGCGUCGAUGUUGGUGGCUUUCAGCGGAGAAAAGUUCCCAGUUGUGAUUUCGUCUCUUCCGGCCAUUUCCUUAUGGCUUCGUGUGCUAAUUAUACAAACGAGUCUUCCUGUUUGCCCAAUUGGUAGAGUUGCUCUCUUGUGCAUUUAUCAUUUUCUUUUAACAGCACUUCUAAGUUUUAGAUUCUGUAUCCUUGGGUUGGGCAUCUACUUUCUUGGAAUACGCUACUGAGAAACAAGGCAACCCAGAGAAAUAAGAAUAAGGAAUGCCCUAUUAACAUAACACUCUAAGAGCCAAAGGUGUUACUGUUCAUUCACUUUUUCGUCGUCGGUAUCACGUGCCAGAGGCGUGUUUUUUUUUUUUUUUCGGUGACCAGGGAACUGUGAAGAAGAGCCACCUUAAACGCGUGCUCAUUGUAAUAAUUCCCAAGCUUGGGGUUAGUGGGGUUUGCCAGGGGAAGGAAAACGCUGUCAUAAUUAGGGGCCUGGGAGGAGGAGUUUCUGUUUGCUUUUCCUGAUAGUCAGCAGAGAAAAGUUCCCAGUUGUGAUUUCGUCUCUUCCGGCCAUUUCCUUAUGGCUUCCCGUUUCUUUUCCUAAUUUCCUUUCUUUCUCCUGAUUUCUUUUCCUAAUUUUAUUUUAAGGCGUUAUACUCUCAUCUUGGUUUCACCAUUUUCUUUUCUUGCGUCGAUGUUGGUGGCUUUCAGCGGAGAAAAGUUCCCAGUUGUGAUUUCGUCUCUUCCGGCCAUUUCCUUAUGGCUUCGUGUGCUAAUUAUACAAACGAGUCUUCCUGUUUGCCCAAUUGGUAGAGUUGCUCUCUUGUGCAUUUAUCAUUUUCUUUUAACAGCACUUCUAAGUUUUAGAUUCUGUAUCCUUGGGUUGGGCAUCUACUUUCUUGGAAUACGCUACUGAGAAACAAGGCAACCCAGAGAAAUAAGAAUAAGGAAUGCCCUAUCGGAAACAAGAGAACCCAAAGAAAUAGAAAUAAGCUAUUACUGUUUAAAAAAAAAAAAACUAUAUUGCUGGUAAUUUCCGAUCUGUCCAUUACAGAAACUGGAAUUUUUUACAUAGCAAUUGCGAAGUACAGAAGUAGAAGGAAGAAUUUGAUAAAUACAAAUUGCGCUCCGCUGCCUUUUUCCUUAGAAAGACUUUUUCCCC